rnacentral:lncRNA from 1 species
AUCUUGAUACUCCUACUGGAUUGAUACCUUGGUUCUCUAACUAAGGGAAAUACUUAUCGCUACUGUGCUGCAUCACCCUUUCCUCUUCAAGGGAAAAAACGACGCAAGCUCGAGAAGUAGCAAGAUGGUGCACCACCUCGGUCUCACGUUGUUUUCUGCAGAAUAUAUUUCCGAUUGGUGUAAUUUAUUUACUACCGAGAUGUAUAACCAGUAGCCCUCGAGGUGUAUGUCGGUCUAAAACUCCAGAUGCACCUGAAGGAUAAAAUAAAACAGUUGAUCCUAGUAGCCCCUGAUACUCCGGUCGAUUCGCAAAAUCGGCAUGAGGAUCAGUUCCUUACUCGGCCGCAUACUUUAGGAAUGGAAAUGCGGUGUGUGGUAGCCCCCGAGGCUCAAGUUGGAUGCGGCUGACCGACCUGAGGAUCAAAUCUUCUCAGAAAUCGUAUUGCACUUUUUGUGUGCAUAUUAACAACACUGAGGUGGACCUCGGCACGGAAGAUGUCGAACUGCGGGUCGGAAAAUAUUUUCCGGUUGGUGUAAUUUUUUCUCUGACAAGCUAUAUAACGAGUAGCCCCCGAGACUUGGGUUGGGCAACAUGGCCGACCCAAGGAUCUUAUAUCCUCGAGAACUAUUUCAUCCAUUAAGUGUGUUUUGACAACACGGAGGUGGAACUCGUCAGGGAAGAUGCCGAACUGUAGGUCAGAAAAAAUUCUCCGAGAAGAAUCACCACGCAGAACACCUCGAACAAGAGGAUGUCCCGCGUCCUAAAAGAACAAGCAUAUAAAGAAGUUAAAGGUGCCAUAAGCUCGGCAAUACCAAAAAACUUUAGCAAAAACAUUAUGUUCCUAACUAAAUCAAGUUUCUUUCAGGUGUGCAGUUGCCUCCGAGACUCGGGUUGGGUGCGGCCGACCGACCUCAGGAUCGAAUCUCCUCGAAACCCGUAUUGCACUUUUGAAUUUUCUGCAUUGAAGAAGAACUGCAGUAGCCCCAAGCCUUAAAUUGGGCACGAGUGGUCGAAUUAAGUAUCUAUAUUUGUUUGACACAAACUUUGUUAUGUUUGACACAAUUUAAGUGUAAUGAUUCUAUGUAUCCAAGUACUAUAUAUCACUAAUGCUUGGAUCCGCAUUGUAGAACACUCUGUUGACCGUCCAUCGGCUUCGACCUCCUCGGCCAGUAAUCGAGGAGUGUUUUUACUACUUUAUAAAGCCUUUAUAAGGGCAAAGAUUUAUGGCAAACAAGGCAAUCCGGCCAUACGGUUUUAUAAACAAUGGUACGCGAAGAGAUUACUUAUUUAACAUAAAAAUAUCCUCUGGGAAAAAUAGUUCAUUUAUAAGUUCCUUUUCCCAUGAUAUCAUGUUUGACCAUGAUCGCGAAACCUUAACUCUGAUCAAUGUGAGAGGAAAAUAUUGAGGAUUUAGUUCGAGGAAUGUUCUCGAACUCUGAGGUCUUUAAUGAACCAAAAAAAUUCACUUCCAUCAUUGCCGACCAAUUAUAUUUUUAAGAUAGUUAGCUUUCGGCUUCACCCAGUGUGAGGUACUAAUCUGGAUGACCCGGAAAUAACGAUCACAGAGGUGCUCCCUUUAUCCUUAGCCGAACAAUCGGGAAUGUAGGGGGUAAGCACAGGAGCCAGGCAACCCAGCUUGGCCAAAAUAUUAAUUCAAAUUGAUGCAUAUUUGUGGCUUUAUAAUGAUGAUUAUGGAAGGCAACACUCGCAUAUUGAAUACAAAUGCUAAUAUGCUAUAUCCUAUUUUGACUCCAUUACGACUGUUUAUAAUCUGAAAGUGGCCCAUCGUCGGCUUUCACCCCCUUGUAGAUACUAUGCAGGUGUUUCCGUACUAACAAGACAACCCUUAGCCAACGUAUCGGUGCUCGGAGGCGGUUGUGUUUAGUGGAAACAAAGCAAUGGCAUAUUCAGGCUUUAUAACUUUCACUUAGUCAGGGGAGCUUUUAAGUGGGGAGGCAAGUUACUAGCCCCUGGUUAGUGUUCGGUGUCAGUCGAGGUCAAGCCAUUAACACUUCGGCCAAUUUUAUGUAAGGCCCACGGGGUGACAUAGUCAUUGGGUCGCUAACCAGCUUGCGCUCAUUGUGACCGUCAUUUUUUGGCUUUCUCCACUGAGGUACUUGACCAGUCAAAUUGGAAGUAUAAUCGCAGUGGUUCUCCCUUUGCACACCUAGCCGAACAAAGCAGAAUAUAGGAGGCAAUCACAGGAGUCGGGCAAGCCAACUAUUGACCAAAGACACAUUUUGAAACUGAUGCAUAUAAACCAAUAUCUAAGAAGCCGAGGUGCAGAUCAGUAGGGAAGAUCCCGAAUUGUGGAUCGGUAAAUAUUUCUUCAGAUAAAAUAUUAUGUAGGGCACCUCGCUGAAGAGGAUGUACCUCCUCCUAAAAACAUUCAAGAGGUGAAAAGUUCAUAAGCUCGAAAAUCAAAAAAUUACGUACAUACUUGACAUCUUAAUUAAAUCAAAAAAACAGUGCCAAUACAAAUUUGGUCUUAAAAUUAAUAUGUGUUUCGGUCAUGCUUUAACAUGAUACAUCCGACCCCUCAGACUUCAAACAGGUUAGCCUUUGGCUUCAACCUCCAUAUCCCGAGGGCGGAGUGUUUCUCCCAGGCCUGUUUAGGAAACUCAACUCAAGCGGCUUUAGAGAGAAACUAGGCUACUCGGUUAUUGACCAAACACUCCUGUGGGAAAAAGGAAUAGUAAAAAAAUGACUUUGCAACGACCAAGAAGAAAAUAUUUAUUAUAAAACGGCUUAUAUAAAUUUUUAAGAGCCCCAGAUAACAUGGGUAAAGGAAGUGUUUUUAACAAACAACGCUCUUAACAAGCUAAGUUUUUAACAAAUAGCUUUUGUCUUUAACACAAAUAUAAUGCUUGGCUGGAACAUAUAGAAAUUAAAAAAUGAAAAAACUUAAGCAUUAAAGCAACCUAGCUGAUUGAUAUGCUCGGUGUGACAUGGCCAAAGCUUGCAACGGUCCGAGGUCCCAACCCCCAAGCAUGUCACGAGGUAGACGAUGAAGAGCUCGGCUUGAUGAAGUGACAACACAACACUUCGGAAGGCCCGAGACGAGACCCCCGGUCCAGCCGAGGAGACAGAGUAGUUCAGCAGUGUGACGGCGAAUCCCCCACGUUAGUCGACCAUGUCGACGAUGCAAUUGGGUUGAUGGAGGCGUGAUGAUAACGUCGGCACGCCGAGGUGACUGUCUAACAUAGUCGUAGCCGAUCACCUGUGCACAUAAAAUGGUGCAAGUCAAAAGUAAUAUCAAGUAAUAACAAAAUCCUCUACUUAAAUAAGUUAAGUGAAGGAAAUGAUUAGAAAAAAUAUAGCAUGAGCACUGAGGUGCCCGAGCGAAGAGCUCGACUAGAUGUAGUUGCAAUGCGACACGACCGAUGUGGCGAGGCGAAGCCCUCAGUCCAGCCGAGAUGACGAAGCUGGUCGGUCGGUGACGUCGAAGUCCCUAGAACAGGUUGAUGAAGAGAUGGCGAAGCCCCCGGUCUAGCCGAGGUGACGUAGUAGUUCGAUAAGGUGGCGCUAGAGCCCCAUACCAGCCGACGUAUCAAAGCAGGUCGGCGUGUUGAAUGUCGGCAUGAAGAAGCGAUGGCACGACGAUGCCGACGCAGGUCCAAAUUUGUGACGCGAUUAGUGAUGGCUUGAUGAAGCAAUGACGCGCCCGACCCAUGCAACGUGGGUGACGAAAUUCUCUGAAGAUUAUUCAGCCCUCGCGAUGUUGAACUCUUGAUCGGAUCGCGGAGGUGUUAGUUUGAUGAGAUUGACCUCAGCUUGACGAAGUGAUGAUCUGUCUAGUGCAGGUCGGCAGCUGUGGAGCAACGUUACCGGGCUGGUUUUACACCAGCGUAACGGAGAAGAUUGUCUUGUAAAAGGCUUAAAAUUUACGGGCAUGUGUUUUAGAACAACACAUAAUACCUUAAAAAAUCUUCAAAAGGAUGUCCAAAACCCCAUUCAUGAAGAAAGAUGAACUCGAGUCGGAUUCGUUUUUGCGAAGAAAACAGGUCCAAAAUUCAUUGUACUCAUCGGAUGUUUCCCGAAGUUUGGACGGUCGGAUCGGGCUGAAAUUUUGAGGCGUGAUCGAUAUAGGAAUUCCGCAGCCGAUGAACAUUGGGAUUUUCCAACGGAUGUCCUAGCUGAAUACUGUACCCCUCGCCCUAAACUCAUCUAGAUUCCCGUCUAGAUUUGACAUGGUUCCAGUAUACAGGAGAUCGUCAGAGAUUCCUCCAUCGGAACGUGACGAAAUUUUGACGGGUUGUUGUAGAUACAAUUCCGCACAGUUCCAUUGCAGCAAUCAUUAAAGCGACGCUCGACGAAGUACGGAUGACGAACACAAAUUUGUUGUCCAGUAAAGGUUGGAAUCUGCACACGAGCCAUCAAUCCUUCAGCAAUCACACAGCAGAACUUUCAAUGAAAGCACCAAUGUCGGAAUCAAAACCGGCGGAUCUCUGGUAGGGGGUCCCGAACUGUGGACCUUGGAUCGAUGGGUUGCAGGAGACGAUGUUUACCCACAUUCGGUCUUUCUUGAUGGAGGUAAAACCCUACGUCCUGCUCUUGUUUAUAUUGAUGAUGGAGUAUCGAGUACACAGAUGAUCUACCUCGAGAUCAUACGUGGUGGUCUAAACCCUAAUGAUGUAGAUGUUAUGUCUAACGAAUAUAUAUCAACUAGUCUGGCCUCGGCUUAUAUAACACACCGGAGGCCUAGGAUAACAAGAGUCGUAGUCGGCUACAUUGGCGUAGAGAAGUCCUUGUCUUGAUGACCAAGUCUUGUGAAAUCUUCCUCGUAUAUGUCAUCGGCUGCCCAAAGUAGCCCAUGAGUCCGGCGCGUAGAGAUAGGUCGGCGGCCCGAGGACCCCUUAGUCCAUGACUCCCUCAGAGCUCUAUAGCAUUUUUAAUAUUAUAUUUGGAUGACAUAUUGCUGAUUGGAACCAAUAUAGAACUUUUGGAAAGCAUGAAGAUAUAUUUGAGCAAGAGUUUUUCGAUGAGGGACCUUGGUGAAGCUAGUUACAUAUUAGGCAUCAAGAUCUAUAGAGAUAGAUCGGGACGCUUAAUUGGACUUUCAUAAAGCACAUACCUUGAUAAGGUAUUGAAGAAGUUCAAAGUGGAUCAGUCCAAGAAGGGGUUCUUGCGUGUCCUACAAGGUGUAAAGUUGAGUAAGACUAAAUGCCCAACGACUAUAGAGUAUAGACAGAAGAUGAGUGUCAUCCCCUGUGCUUCAUCCAUAGGCUCUAUUAUGUAUGUGAUGUUGUGCACAAGACAAGAUGUCAGCCUUGCCAUAAGUAUGGGCAUAAGGUUCCAAAGUGAUCCAGGAGUGGAACACUGGACAGUGGUCAAGAAUAUCCUUAAGUACCUCAAAAGGACUACGGAUAUGUUUCUCGUUUAUGGAGGUGAUCAAGAGCUCAUCGUAAAGGGUUACGUCGAUGCUAUAUUUGACACAGAUCCGGAUGACUCUAAGUCUCAAACUAGAUACGUAUUUAUUCUAAAUGAUGGAGCGGUAAGCUGGUGCAGUUCUAAGAAAAGUGUGGUAGCUGAUUCUACAUGUGAAGCGGAGUACAUAGCUGCUUCAGAAGCAGCAAAGGAAGGUGUCUGGAUGAAGCAGUUCAAGACGGAUCUUGGAGUUGUUCUCAGUGCACUGGAUCCAAUGACCCUGUUUUGUGACAACACUAGUGUCAUUGCUCUAGCCAAGGAACCAAGGUUUCCCAAAAGGACCAGACACAUAAAGUGCCGCUUCAAUUCCAUCCGUGAUUAUAUCAAGGAGGAGGACAUAAACAUUUGCAAAGUACAUGUCGAUCUGAAUGAUACAGGUCCAUUGACUAAACCUCUUCGACGAGCAAAACAUGAUCAACACCAGAACUCUAUGGGUGUUAGAUUCAUUACCAUGAAAUACUAGAUUAUUGACUCUAGUGCAGGUGGGAUACUGUUGGAAAUAUGCCCUAGAGGCAAUAAUAAAGUAGUUACUAUCAUAUUUCUUUGUUCAUGAUAAUCGUUUAUUAUCAUGCUAUGAUUGUAUUGAUUGGAAACUCAAAUACAUGUGCUGGUACAUAGACAACAAACUGCCCCUAGUAUGCCUCUACUGGACUAUCUCAUUGAUCAAAUAUGGCUAAGGUUUUCCAGCUAUAGACAUGAGUUGUCAUUUGAUAACGGGAUCACAUCAUUAGGAGAAUGAUGUGAUGGACAAGACCCAAACCGUAAGCAUAGUGUUUGAUCAUAUCAAGUUUACUGCUAUUGCUUUAUCCAUGUUAAUAUAUCUGUUCCUAUGAGCAUGAGAUCAUGCAACUCACUAACACUGGAGGAAUGCAUUGUGGGUAUCACACAUCACAAUGGAACUGGAUGACUAUAAAGAUGCUCUACAGGUAUCUCCGAGGGUGUCCGUGGAGUUGGCAUGGAUCAAGACUGGGAUUUGUCACUUCGUAUGACGAAGAGGUAUCUCAGGGCUAACUCGGUAAUACAACAUCACAAUAAGCUUGCGAGAUAUGUGGUUAAGGAGUUAGUCACGGGAUCUUGUAUUAUGGAAUGAGUAAAUAGACUUGUCGGUAAAUAUAUUGAACUAGGUAUGGAGAUACCGACGAUCGAAUCUUGGGCAAGUAACAUACCGAUGGACAAAGGGAACGACAUACGGGAUUACCUGAAUCCUUGACAUCGUUAGUUUGACCGAUAAAGAUCUUCGUAGAAUAUGUAGGAAACAAUAUGAGCAUCCAGGUCCCACUAUUAGUUAUUGAUCGUAGAGGUGUCUCGGUCAUGUCUACAUAGUUCUCGAACUCGCAGGGUCUGCACACUUAACGUUCGCUGAUGAUGUAGAUGUAGUUGAGUUAUUGUGUUGGUGACCGAAGGUUGUUCGGAGUCCCGGGUAAGAUCUCGGACAUGACUAGGAGCUUCAGAAUGGUCCGUAGGUAAAGAUUGAUAUAUGGGAAGUUGGUAUUCGAGUUCGAGAAAAGUUCCGGAUGGUUAGCGUGUAGGAUGGAAAGUAUGUCUAGAAGGGGGGGUGAUUAGACUACUUGACAAGAUAAAAACUUAGCCUUUUCCACAUUUUAAGUGUAGGUCAGUUUUAGAAAUUAUGACUAGUCAAGUACACCCUACACAUGCACAUCUAAGAGUAUAGCAGCGGAAAGUAAAACAUGCAAGUGUAAAUUAGAGGGUAAGAUAGGGAGGUUAAAUGCAAAGGUUGACACGAUGUUUUUUUGAACGGUUCCAAUAGGUGGCGUACGUCCAUGUUAGUGGAGACUUCAACCCACGAAGGGUAAUGGAUGUCAGAGUCCACAGAGGGCUCCACCCACAAGGGGUCCACAAAGAAGCAGCCUUGUCUAUUUCACCACGGCUUCCGUCUAUACAUGACUAGCCUCACUCACGAUAGAUCUUCGCGAAGUAGGCGAUCUCCUUGCCUUACAAAUAUUUUGGUUCAACUCCACAACACGAAGUAGGAGGCUCCCAAGCGACACCUAACCAAUCUAGGAGGCACCACCCUCCAAAAGGUAAUAGAUGUGGUAGAACGAUGAACUCCUUGCUAUUGUGCUUCUAAAGAUAGUCUCCUCAACACUCAAUCACUCUCUCUCAGAUUUGGCAGGGGUAGGAGAGAUUGAUCUUGUGAAAGCAACUUGGGGAGGCUAGAAAUCAAGGUUCAAAUGGUUGGAAUGGAAUCUCUUGAUCUCAACACAUGAGUAGGUGGCUCUCUCUCAAAAAACUGGAUCUGGCAAGUGUAAGUGUGUUCUGAGUGCAUUCUCUACGAAUGAGAGGUAGGUGGAGGGGUAUAUAUAGGCACCCCCCAAAAUCCAACCGUUACAACAUUAUUGCCCAACUCGGUGACACCAAAAUGAAUCUCGGUGGUACCGAGUUGCAAUAAAUGUGGCGACUUUUGAAUUCUCGAUGAGACCGAUAUAGGAAUCUUGGUGGUACGAUACAAUGACCUAGACCAGUUUCCAAAUCUCGAUGAGACCGAUUUCAAACUUAGAAAUUCUGAUUCUUUAAAUCUUCUCAAAAGAAAGUUGGUCACUCAAUCUCGAUGGCACCGAUAGGAAUGUUGGUGGUACCGAUAUGGUAGGGUUUGGCAUAGGUUCUAUCAAGUGUAAAAUCGGUAGGGCCGAAUGGAAAUAGUUGGUGGCACCGAUUUUGUAGGUUUAGCUUUGGACAAAUAUAUUUUGUGGGAGAAUGGCUGAGUAUUUUUGGUGGCUACCUCUAAGCACUUGAGAAACCAAUUCAUCAUAACACCUCACCCCUUUUAAUAGUAUUGGCCUUCAUAUGGACUCAAAGUGAUUUCUCACAAGUGUAAAAUGUAGAAUCUUCUUGCUUGAAGCUUGAGCCAAUCAUAUUCCUUCCUUGCAUCAAGGGGCGUAUCCUCACAAUCCUAUAGCCAAAGCAUCUUUGAACUUUUCUUAAAUGUACUUGAAUAAACUCAUUAGUCCAAUGAUGCAUAUGUUGUGAUUAAUUACCAAAACAAGCUUAGGGGCAAUUGUGCUUUCAAUCUCCCCCUUUUUGGUAAUUGAUGACAACAUAUAGAUCAAAGCUUCGACAAAAUAUAUAAUCAAUGAUUAGCAUCGACACUUUGAGAAGUAUGUGAAUUAUUUAUCAUUUGCAUUUGAAUGCAAAUGCAGAAUUGAUUAGGAUCAUGGGUUACUCUUCCAUGUCACAUACAACUUGGUGAUGCACAUAAAUGAUAUGAACGAAUAGUAAUGCACAUAACACCAAACAAGAACGUGAAUGAUCAUCAGUAGAUAGCUCAAAGGUAAUAACGUGGUAGCAUCAAACAACCAUUGCAUAUGAUCAAACACACCUCUAAACAGGUAAAGUCAUCCAAAAGACCAAAAGUAUUGAAAACCCAAAAGAGAGGAAAUAAAAUGCAAAGCUCUCCCUCUCGAAGCCCUAUUUGAUGUACACACUUAUUCCCCUUUGGCAACAAGUUACCAAAAAGUUCAAAGGUCUAGAACUAAGCAUCUCUGUGGGCACGAUCUCCUCCGUAGCUGAAGAUGGAGUGGACAAGAUAGCAUCAACGAAGGCUUCUACAGAUGUCGCUGGAGCUCGAGGUGUAGACAUAGGAGGAGCAGGAGCACGAGCUGAAGCUUGAGCUGAUGAAGAUGGUCUUGCUUCUGGAACUGGCAAAGUCACUGACCUAGUCUGGGUCCUGAACUGGGUGGUAGUAGGAAGAGGUGACUCGUCAUCAUCAUCACUACUAGAGAGUACAAUCUUCACUGAGUCAACUUCAUGCAGAAGUUGCUGAACAGUGGUGGUCAACUUCAUCACCUUAACAUCCAGGUCAUGGAAUUUUGUCUCCACGAUCCUCUCAAGGCUCUUCUGGUUCAGCAAAAUCUUAGAAACUUUCUUCUCCAUCCCUUGGAUGGUGCUGACCAAGAAGGACAUCUGCUAAUCUCUGGUUUUGAGCUGUGGGGGUUGAGCUGGAGCAUUGCUAGCAGCCUCUGCAAUUGCUUCCUCUACUACCUCUCUAGUAGUAGCUGAGUUGGGAUGGGUAUCAUCCAUCACAACUUCAUUGUCUUCAAAAUCAGGCUGAAGUGGCUGGUGGGGACGAUCAAGUAGAUAUGCAUGCUUGCCAAUCUUGGCAUUGAUGAGCUUGUGAAUGUAUGGAGCAUAUCCACAAGAUCUCUUCUGAUCUGCAAAAGUCCUCUUGACAGUCUCAACUAUCAAGCCCAUCACUCGGAACCGGGUGUGGGUGUUUAGAUGAUGCAGCAUGUUGAUGGAAUAACCUCUAAUCAUCUUGUCAUCACCUAACUUGGGCAUCAGGGUGUGUCUCAUGAUGGUGUUUGUAGUGGGUAUUCUUGCUUGCACAAAGUAGACAGAGCCAAAUUUGCGAGACGACAGAAACUCAAUGGGCACAACCUUGUACAUGUUGGCCAUGGAGUUGUGAUUCAUUUUGAGCUGUGAAUACACAUCCAAGUCUUCUUCUCGUGCUUUAGGAGCACCAAUGAUAGUGUCUCAUUCGUCAACAGUGGCUUCAUACCGGUGACCCACAAUCAUCCAAAUAGUUCUUCCAUCAGAAUAGAAAUGAGCGGUGGAAUAGAAUUUCAUGACAUAUCAUCAUUCCAUGCAGUCAUCUCCUUGCCAACAAAAUCUUCAAUAUCAACCAUCCUGAAAUUUUCUCUCACAUGAGGAAAAUAGUCUUCAUUGGCUUUGAUGUAUUCCCAAUCGACAUAUCUCAUUUCGCUGACUGCAGGACUCUUGUCAAGGAGGAUUGUCUCAUAGAAAUCUUGUUGUUCCCUUGUGUGAAACCGGGGAUCAACAACAGUUCUCCUUCUCACAACAUAUGGAUCAAUAGAUCUCCACUUCCUGAGACCUGUAUCUCUCCUCUUCUUCAUGUCCUCAGUAGCUGGGUGAGAAGCAUCAUGGGUUGGCAUAUGAGCUCUCAGCUUCAUAAGCACUUUGGAAUCCUCAUCUUUCUCUGCAGCAAAAUCCAUGGAUGCACAGCCUUUGUUUUUCUCACCUGCGGGAAUAUCCUUCGUAGUCCUCUUAGGAACUACAAGCUUCUUAUGAGCAGAAGACUUCUUCGGAGCAGAAAGCUUCUUUGUCAUAGCAUCAACCAUCAACUUUGACUUCUUUGCAGGAGGAACCUCAGCUAGAAUUUCUUCCUCGUCAUUAGCAUCAGCAGUUUCUGUUGGAUAUUCAUACAUAGAGGUUUGCCUUCCAAUAACAUGGAUAGUUUUCUUCCAGGCUCUCUUCACACCUGGAUUCUUUGCAAGCCUUGCUUCUAGAGCUCUACUGUCAGAAUGUUUAGCAUACUCCUUCCUCACGAUCUUCCUCACUAUGGUCUUCUCCUUCUGCUUCUGGGGAGCAGAUUCUUCACGGAUGAAGUCAGCAUCUUCUUCAUCAGAAUUUAGCUUCCUUCUGGACCUGGCAGCUGCCUUGGGCAUGCCAUGGGAGUUGGGAGUACCUGGGUCAGAAGGGGUGCUCUCAGGACUAGUUCCUGAAUCACUUUCAACAUGGGGCUCACUGAAGUUGUUUUGAUUAUCCUCUGAACCUGACAUCUUGCAAGACCAAGUAGACAAGCAGAUUGGCAGAUGCUACGGCGACAGAGAUCUUCUAUCGUCUCUUGAGCUUGCGCUGGUUUUUCCCUUGAAGAGGAAAGGGCGAUGCAGCACAGGAGCAGUAAGUAUUUCCCUCAGUUUGAGAACCAAGGUAUCAAUCCAGUAGGAGAAUCUCCUCAAGUCCAGAGUACCUGCACAAACACAAAAGAGCUUGCACCCAACACUAUAAAGGGGUUGUCAAUCCCUUCAAGAUUGAUUGCAAAGUGAGAUCUUAAGGCGGAAAAUGAAACGAAGUAAAAGAGUAAGGCUGAAAAUAUAGUGUGGAGUAGAGCCGGGGGCCAUAGUGUUCACUAGAGGCUUCUCUCAAAAUAGCAAAUAUCACGGUGGGUGAACAAAUUGCUGUCGAGCAAUUGAUAGAACCGCGCAAAGUCAUGACGAUAUCUAAGGCAAUGAUCAUACAUAUAGGCAUCACGUCCGAGACAAGUAGACCGAUACUUUCUGCAUCUACUACUAUUACUCCACACAUUGACCGCUAUCCAGCAUGCAUCUAGUGUAUUGAGUUCAUGACGAACAGAGUAACGCCUUAAGAAAGAUGACAUGAUGUAGAGGGAUAAUCUCAAACAAAUGAUGAAAACCCCAUCUUUUUACCCUUGAUGGCAACAACAUGAUGCGUGCCUCGCUACCCCUUCUGUCACUAGGUGAGGUCACCUCACGGUAUGAACCCAAAACCAAGCACUUCUCCCAUUGCAAGAAUCAUAGAUCUAGUUGGCCAAACAAAACCCACAACUCGAAGAGAAUUACAAGGAUAUGAAAUCAUUCAUAAGAGAGAUCAGAAGAAACUCAAAUAAGAUUCAUAGAUAAUCUGAUCAUAAAUCCACAAUUCAUCGGAUCUCGACAAACACACCACAAAAGAAGAUUACAUCGGAUAGAUCUCCAUGAAGAUCAUGGAGAACUUUGUAUUCAAGAUCCAAGAGAGAGAAGAAGCCAUCUAGCUACUAGCUAUGGACAAGUAGGUCUAUGGUGAACUACUCACGCAUCAUCGGAGAGGUCAUGGUGUUGAUGAAGAAGCCCUCCGUAUCUGAAUCCCCCCCUCCGGCAGGGCACCAGAACGUGCCCCAGAUGGGAUCUUGCGGAGACAGAAGCUUGCAGCGGCGGAAAAGUACUUUCGAUGAUCUCCUAAUUUUUUCUGGGAUUUUAGGGAAUUUAUAGGCGGAAAACCUAGGGCAGAGGUGGCCCAGGGAGCCCACAAGCCUGGGAGGCGCGGGCCCCCCUGGCCGCGGCUAGGGGGCUUGUGGGGUCCCUGCAGGCCCCCUGCCCUAAUUCUCAGGCUUCCCGAUCUUUUUCUGUUUCGGAAAAAAUCUUUUUGGCAGUUUCGUUCCGUUUGGACUCCAUUUAAAAUCCUCCUCUGAAAGGGGUCAAAAACAUGGAAAAAACAGGAACUGGCACUUGGCACUGAGUUAAUAAGUUAGUCCCAAAAAAUAUAUAUAAGGCAUGCAAAACAUCCAAAGUUUGACAAGAUAAUAGCAUGAAACCAUCAAAAAUUAUAGAUACGUUGGAGACGUAUCAGCAAACUAGCACACAAGCUAACCGUGUGAAAAGAUAUAGAAGAGUUGGAAAGGAUAAGCAUCACAAAAUUGCAGAAGUUUUGUCAAAUUUGAACUCUGAAAAAAAUUGUUUUAACUUUCAGCAAAAUAGGAUCUCGGUUCCAUCGAGUCAAAAAAAUUGGAGCCACCGAGACACAGGUUCUCUUUAACAGAAACUUGGCACCCUUUUCGGUUUCACCAAAAAAGAGAACUCGGUUCCUCCGGGAACAUUCUUACUAACCCUAAAACCAAAAUCAGUAAGACCGAUUUUUGCAACUCGGUGACACCGAGAUUCAAUCUCGCGGACUACUAACCCUAAAAAAAAUUGUUCUCUACACUAAUAGAGUUCUCUGUUUGAUUGAACUUGUAGCAAUAGUGGACAGAUAAUGGCAGUGCCUAGCGCACAAAGAAUCAGAUUGGAGUGCAAAAGGAAAUUGAAUCCUUACCCUAACUUGGCAUGGAUUCACUACAGCAGCGACGGCGGUGAAGAAUUCAUCAGCGACGAGGACGCGUGGCGAAGGCGCACGGGAGAAACAAGCAGAUGUCCAAGGGACUAGGGCGCGACAACAAAGGGGUGCGAUUGUUCAGCGUUUGAAGGAAUUUCUCAACCGUCGGGUACCGCUGGUAUAUAUAUCCCUUCGCUAUCGGUGACAUCUUGAUGAGAUUUUCGGUGCCACCGAGUUCCACAACUGUCAGCUGACAGUGAAACCCGAUGAGGCCGAAAAGUAAAACUCAAUUGCACCGAGAUAAUAAAAGUUGAUCAACCCUAGGCUUUGGUGAGACCGAGAUUUUUAGGUUGGUCACACCGAGAUGCACUUUGGGAUGUUUUGGAAUUCAACCCUUGUCAAGAUGGGUCUCCGAGUGCUCCUCACACAGAGUGUCCCUAAAGUGCUUGAUCAAAUUUUGUGAUGUAGCAUGAAUAUAAUUUGAGCUGAGAAAUCAUACAUAGCUAGAGAAAGGUACUUAGGCAUUCUUGUAUAUCCAAUUGGCCAAUAAAAAUAGAAAGCCAAACAACAACAAUUGGAUAUCCUUGAAUGAGCAAAAUAUGCAUACCAACAUGCUCACGCAAUAAUAUGUCAAAUAAAACAUGGUGAACAUGCACAACCAUUCUAGCAUGUAUCAAGUACUUUGGCGGUGAUGAAGUCAUCUAUAUAAGAGUAUAUUGACUUAGGAGCCAAGUAAGAAUACUUGAUCAUAGGUCAUACUCAUCGAUCAGGCACAAGUGGGGUUAUCACUUUUACAUAAUGCAUUAAUGUGUUCACAUCGUUUAGUAGACACUUAUACUCAAGUCUUAGAGUAAAGCUCCCCCUAGAUGUGACAUCCCCCUAAGAGGGAUAAACUAACCUUGGGUUUUGUUGUAGAAGACUUCAAGUAGGUGUAGUAGGGUGGAUUCUCAUUGUUGAUGAAGAUCAUCUUGAGUUAGGAGCAAUCCUUGUUGUUUCUUACUCUUCUCACCUACAUGGGUUAGUCCCGAAGCAAAAGGAACAAAUGCAAGGAUAUCUAUGGACAUGGGGUGAAAUACAUGGGAAGUGAUGUCCAAAGAUGCAUUAAUUACAUUGUCCCUUGCUCACCUUUGAGGGGAUGUGUGACUCCUUGAACUAAUGCAUAUGGUUGGAUUUGAUUGCAUAUAGUUCUUGCCAAAAUGAAUAAGAGUGAAUUUCCUUGGCGAAGUCACCCCUCAAGAACUUUCUAGUUCUUCCUCUUGGGGACCCACAUCACCUUGAUGGGGAUCCUUGGAGUUGUUGUAGCAGUAGAUGAGGUAGUACUAGAAGUGUCUUUGGGAACCCACUCGACCUUGGCUUGGGGUUCUUCCUCAAAUGAGUCAAUCUCCUCUUGAAGCUUUAGCUUGCCCUUGUGGUCUUGUGGUAGAAGGCCAUCUUGAGAGCUUGUUCCCUUGCGAGGAGUAGGAUCAUACUUCUCCUCUUGAGGAACAAACUUGGGAAUGGAAAUGGACCUUCUUCCCAAACAUCUCCGUUGACGUUGAAGUAGCAAACACCUUGAUUCUUCCGAUGUCCUCCUUGCUUGCGCACAAUUUACUUGAAUUGCUUACUUCCAGCAAGACUCUUGAAGACACCUCUCUCUACAAUCUCUUUCAAUAAAUCGUUUUCUUGCUCAAGUGUAACUUGGAUAAGAGAAUCAUUAGUGGAAUCAAGAGAGCUACUAGCAACAACAUCAUUUGAUCUAGCUUUAGCAUUGUUGUUACUAGAUGAAGAAACUUUCUUGCCUUUGUUACUAGUAUUUUUAGCUUUAACUUAUGGAAUACAAGUAGACACGAGCAAACGUUUGGGUAGAUAAGAAGAAAUCUUCUUUCGAAGAUCAUCAUUGAUUGCUUUUAGAAACUCAUGCUCUUGCUCUAAAUUUAGCUUCUCAAAGCGUAGCUUCUCAUGAGUUCUCGCAAGCUCUCUAUGAUCUUCUAGAGUAGUUUCAUGAGCUAACUUAAGAGUGUUUAAUUCUUUAGUUAGUCGUUCAAUCUCUUUCUUAUCAUCAUCAUUUGAUUUUUCUUAGCUAGCAUGAAUAUUUUCAAGUUCAUUUUCAAUGUUAUCACUAGUCUUAUUAGAGAGCAAGUUAUGUUCUCCUAAGAAGUCAUCCUCAUCACUAUCAAUGUCAAAGUACUCGGGGUGUGAUACCUUGGGGCCUUUUGCCAUGAAGCAGUUUCCAAUCCCUUCAUUUGGUGAAUCAAAGUCGUAGGAGUUGGAGCAAACGAGUGCAAUGCCGGCAACACCUUCAUCUUGACUGUAGUCGCGGAGUUGGAGUGAUAGCUUCUCUGGGAUUGGUUGUCAGACUCGAAGCCAGAAACCCAUUCACCAACGUGAGCUUGAUGUUUUCUUAUUGAACCGCUCUUGGUGUACUUGUCCUUCUUCUCCAAUUCUUUUCCUCUUUGGGAGUGUCUUCAUUCAUAAUGAUCUUCUCUAUUCAUUCUCUCUUUGCGAGGUGAAUCAUCUCUUGAGCUUCCUCUUCUAGGUGACUCUUCUCUUUGUUUGUGGGGAGCCGAGCACUCAUUGGAAAAGUGUCCUGGCUUUCCACAGUUGUAGCAGUUUCGGUCAUGAGUAGACGAACGCUUCUCAUCAUAUCUUGAUCUUGAGUUUCUUUCUUUGCCUCUACUCUUGUAGUACUUGUUGAAUUUUUUUACCAUGAGGCUUAUCUCUUCAUUUGUAACAAGGUUGUCACUUGAAUUAGCAGGAGCAUCGAUUGAAGCUUUGUAAGCACCGCUUGACUUGUUGUGUAACUCAUCUUUGUCCUCAAGAGACAUUUCAUGAGAAAAAAAUCCUUCCAAUGGCUUCAGUUGGCUUGAGAUCCUUGUAGUUUGGCAUCAUUUGGAUUAAUGUGCACAUGGUGUCGUAUGUUCCAUCCAAGGCUCUAACUAUCUUCUUGAUGAUGAAUUUGUCGGACAUCUCUUCACUUCCUAAGCCUACAAUCUCAUUUAUGAUGAGAGCUAGCGUCGAGUACCUCUCAGCGACUCCUUCACCAUCCUUUAUCUUGAACUUGUAAAGCUAACUUUGAAGCACAUCCAACUUAGAUUCCCUGACAAAAUCAGUACCUUCAUGCAUAUCAAUCAAAGUAUCCCAAAUUUCCUUUGCAUUCUCCAGGCAACUGGUUUUGUUGAAUUCUUUUGGACACAAGCACUUGAACAGAAUAUCACAGGCUUGAGCAUUGAAUUGCAGCAUCUUCAAUUCUUCCGUUGCCGCGUCAUGAUCUAGUUCUUUACAUUCUCCAAAGAAAUCACCUUGCACACCAACACGAACAACAUCCCAAACGGUAGGAUUAUGACCAAGAAUAUGCAGUUUCAUCUUAUGCUUCCAACUAGCGAAAUUAGUACCAUUGAAAUAUGGACCUCUAUGGUGAUAAUUUCCCUCACUAGACUCCAUAAUCUCCUAGGUUGUGAAACCAAUGCAAUGGAGACCAAAGCUCUCAUACCACUUGUAGGAUCAAAAGUAUGUCUAGAGGGGGUGAUUAGACUACUUGAUAAGAUAAAAACUUAGCCUUUCCCUAAUUUUAAGUGUAGGCUAGUUUUAACAAUUAUGACUAGUCAAAUACACCCUACACAUGCACAUAUAAGAGUAUAGCUGCAGCAAGUAAAACAUGCAAGUGUAAAGUAGAGGGUAAGGUAGGGAGAUCAAACGCAAAGGUUGACACAGAGAUUUUUGGCAUGGUUCCGAUAGGUGGCGCUAUCGUACAUCCAUGUUAGUGGAGACUUCAAACCAUAGAGGGUAACGACUGUCAGAGUCCAUGGAGGGCUCCACCCACAAGGGGUCCACAAAGAAGCGGCCUUGUCUAUUCCACCACGGCUUCCAUCCACACAAGACUAGUCUCACUCAUGGUAGAUCUUCACGAAGUAGGCGAUAUCCUUUCCAUUACAAACAUCUUGGUUCAACUCCGCAACACGAAGUAGGAGGCUCCCAAGCGACACCUAACCCAUCUAGAAGGUACCACCCUCCAAAAGGUAAUAGAUGUGGUAGAGCGAUGAACUCCUUGCUCUUGUGCUUCUAAAGAUAGUCUCCUCAACACUCAAUCACUCUCUCUCGGAUUUGGCAGGGGCACGACAGAUUGAUCUUGUGGAAAGCAACUUGGGGAGGCUAGAAAUCAAGGUUCAAAUGGUUGGAAUGGAAUCUCUUGAUCUCAACACAUGAGUAGGUGGCUGAUACGUCUCGAACGUAUCUAUAAUUUUUGAUGGUUUCACGCUGUUAUCUUGUCAUCCUUGGAUGUUUUAUGUACCUUUUAUAUCUUUUUUGGGACUAACUUAUUAAUUUAGUGCCAAGUGCCAGUUCCUGUUUUUUCUGUGUUUUUGACUCUUUUCAGAUUUGAUUUUGGAACGGAGUCCAAACGGAAUAAAAACCCCGAAAUGAUUUUUUUCCGAAUGGAAGAAGAUUAGGGGGCCUCUGGGCCAAGACAGGUGGGAUCCAGGGAUCCCACAAGCUCCCACUCCGCCACCAGGGGGAGGCGGCGGUGUCAGGGCUUGUGGCCUCCCUGGCCGCCCCCUGACCUAGAUCCUUGGCCUAUAUAUUCCCAAAUAUUCAGCAAAAAAUCAGGGGAGCCUCGAAAAUACUUUUCCACCGCUGCAAGCUUCCGUUUCCGUGAGCUCUCAUCUAGAGACCCUUCCCGGCACCCUGCUGGAGGGGACUUUGGAGUUGGAGGGCUUCUUCAUCAUCAUCAUCGCCCCUCCAAUGACUCGUGAGUAGUUCACUUCAGACCUACGGGUCCGUAGUUAGUAUCUAGAUGGCUUCUUCUCUCUCUUGGAUCUUCAAUACAAAGUUCUCCAUGAUCUUCAUGGAGAUCUAUCCGAUGUAAUCUUCUUUGGCGGUGUGUUUGUCGAGAUCCGAUGAAUUGUGGAUUUGUGAUCAGAUUAUCUAUGAUAUAUAUUUGAGUCUUUGCUGAUUUCUUAUAUGCAUGAUUUGAUAUCCUUGUAAGUCUCUCCGAGUCUUGGGUUUUGUUUGGCCAACUAGAUCUAUGAUUCUUGCAAUGGGAGAAGUGCUUGGUUUUGGGUUCUACCAUGUGGUGACUUUUCCCAGUGACGGUAGGGGCAGCAAGGCACACAUCAAGUAGUUGCCAUCAAGGGUAAAAAGAUGGGGUUUUUAUCAUUGGUUUGAGAUUAUCCCUCUACAUCAUGUCAUCUUGCUUAAGGCGUUACUCUGUUCUUAUGGACUUAAUACACUAGAUGCAUGCUGGAUAGCGGUCGACGUGUGGAGUAAUAGUAGUAGAUGCAGAAAGUGUCGGUCUACUUGUUUUGGACAUGAUGCCUAUAGAUAUAAACAUUGCAUAGAUAUCGUCACGACUUUGCGCGGUUCUAUCAAUUGCUCGACAGUAAUUUUUUCACCCACCGUCUACUUGCUUUCAUGAGAGAAGCCACUAGUAAACACUACGGCCCCCGGGUCUAUUCACAUCCAUCGUUUACACCUCCGCUUUUACUUUGCUUUGUUACUUUGUUGCUUUCAGUUCUCACUUGGCAAACAAUCUAUAAGGGAUUGACAACCCCUUCAUAGCGUUGGGAGCAAGCUUUUGUGUUUGUGCAGGAUCUUGAGAUACUCCUCCACUGGAUUGAUACCUUGGUUCUCAAACUGAGGGAAAUACUUACCACCGCUACGCUACAUCACCCUUUCCGCUUCGAGGGAGCACCAACGCAAGGCUCCAAGGCCACGGAGGAAAUCCUUUGCAUACUUGCCCAGGAAGUCCCUUAAGGCGUAGCCGCAGCUGAAGGAUCAAGCCAAGUAUUCUCCCGUCGACGUGCCUAUUUCUAGCGCCAUUGGAAGGUCUUUUGUUGCAGUAGCAGUGGCCCUCUCUCAGAAAAUGGACCUCGCAAGUCUAAGUGUGUUCUGAGUGCUUCCUGUACGAAUGAGAGGUAAAUGAAACUCGAUAGUGACGAGUUGCACCAAAUGUGACAACUUUUGAAUUCUUGGCGAGACCGAUGUAGGAAUCUCGGUGGUACUGAUACGAUGACCUAGACCAGUUUCCAAAUCUCGGUGAGACUGGUUUCAAACUCGAAAAUUCUAAUUCUUGAAAUCUUCUCAACAGAAAGUUGGUUGGUCACUGAAUCUCAGUGGCACCGAGAGGAAUGUUGGUGGUACCGAGAUGGUAGGGUUUGGCAUAGGUUCUGUCAAGUGUAAAAUUGGUAGGGCCGAACGGAAAUAGUUGGUGGCACCGAUUUUGCAGGUUUAGCUUUGGACAGAGAUAUUUUGUGGGAGAAUGGCUGAAUAUUUUUGGUGGCUACCUCUAAGCACUUCAGCAACCAAUUCAUCAUAAUACCUCACCCUCUUGUGAUAGUAUUGGCUUUCCUAUGGACUCAAAGUGAUUUCUCACAAAUGUAAAAUGUAGAGUCUUCUUGCGUGAAGCUUGAGCCAAUCCUAUUCCUUCCUGGGCAUCUCCUCAUAAUCCUAUAUCCAAAGCAUCUUUGAACUUUUCUGAAAUAUACAUGAAUAAACUCAUUAGUCCAAUGAUGCAUAUGUUGGGAUUAAUUACCAAAACCACCUUAGGGAGCAAUUGUGCUUUCAUACCGGUUUUGGGACAGAGGUUCCGAAAGAGUUCCGCGGGUCCAUUGGGAGGGUCCACUUGUCCCGUAGGGCCCCAUGGGUUGUGAGAGAUGGUCCACGAGCCCCUGGUGGGCUGGCCGCACCUCCCACAUAAGGCCCAUGCAUCCAAGGAGGUGGGUUGGCCGAGAGGUGUCCGUCGCCCCUCCUUCCUUGAGGGCCAAGGCAGCCCCUUGGUGAUCGUCGCCCCACCCUAGCAGAAACCCUAGGGCGUCGGCCUCCCCUACUCUCCCUCCUAUAUAUACUGGAGGAGAGGGAGGGUACCUGCACCUGAAAAGGCCAUGGCGCAGCCCUCCUCUGUGUCUCGUAGUUCUUCUCCACCGUCGUGAUCGCGAUAGUGCUUGGCGAAUCCCUACAUAAAUCACACCACCACCGCCACCACCACGUUGUCAUGCUGCCGGAGAACUUAGCUGCUACUUCACCCACGCUCGCUGGAUCGAGGUGGUGAAGGCGUCAUCGAGCUGCACAUGUGCUGAACACAGAGGUGUCGUCCAUUCGGCACUUGAUCCGGACUUUCGUGAUUGGAUCACGGGACGGAUCGUGACUGGAUCGCGAAUACAUUCGGCUACAUCAACCACGUUUCUCAAUGUUUCCGCUUAGCGAUAUACAAGGGUAUGUAGAUGCACUCCCCCUCUUGUAGUUGUUGAUCUCCAUAGAUUGUUCUUGGUGAGGAUAGGAAUUUUUUUUGUUUCCCAUGCAACGUUCCUCAACAAUCGCACCCUCCGCUCCUCGACGACCAGAUGAACCAGGUGGUCCAAUUGUUGCGUCGGGCGAGGCCAGCCAUGGAGGACCUCUACAUCACCCUCUGGCCCGUCGAACCAUUACCAAGAAGUCUCUUCAGCUUGGUUCACCAACUCCAAGGUGCCAGCCCCCAAGUCCACGACUGGAAGCAUGCCGCUUGCCUGGAGGGUACUCGCCUGGCGUAUGAGGUGAGGGAACUGGUCCACCAUAGGCAGGAGGAGAUGCAACCAUGCCUUAAGUGCCCUACCCAUUCUUUCCUUGAGAGUAACUUGGCUUUAGGCUAUUAUCCAUCUCCUUGACAGAUUUGACAUCCGCUUCCAAGGAAGUAGGAUCAAUUACUUCCUUGGGAGCGAUGGUAGGUUUUAUACCCUCAAGGAAUUUAGUUAGCAUGUCCUUGACCUCGUCCACCAUAGUUGAUUUAAGUGAGCCAUUGCCUCAUCUAAAUCACCCUAGGUGACCACAGUUAGGUCCACGGUCGUGAGGAUAUCCUCCUCCCUCAUCCUGUAGUCAACCAUAUUCUUUAGGCGGUAAACCCCUUGAUAAAGAGAUGUAUCUUUGAUACCAACUGAAAGGAUCGAUAUGGUCGACUAGAGGGGGGUGUAAAUAGGCGACUUACAACUUUUAACUUAUUUUAACAAAUUAGGCUUAACAACAAAAUAGGUUGUGUAGGUAUGCAACUAGGUGGACAACCUAAAUGAUGAGCACAACAACAACGACAAUUGAAAUCACAAGAUAGAAACACAAUAUAAGCUUGCACAAAGUAAACAUAAGAUUUAACUACAAGUAGAGUCGAUGGAGAUGAGAAUGUGUUAUGAAAGUUCGUUCCUUUUGGGGGAGGUACGUCCCCAUUGGAGCGGCGUGGACGCAUUAUGCUCCCCAAGAAUCCACUAGGACCACUGUAUUCUCUUCACACCCUCACAUAAUGCAAGAUGUCGUGAUUCCAUUAGCGGUGCACUUGAAGGUAACAACCAGACCUUUACAAACAAGGUUGGGGCUCUCUCCACAACUUAAUUGGAGGCUCCCAACACACCCACAAAGCUUGAACACAAUGGAUUGUGGCUCCAUGAUGACCUCUUCUAUCUAGGGUGACCAAACACUCAAGAGUAACAAGUUGAUGAUGAUGCAGAAGCCAGGGAACGCAAAAAAAGUUUGGUGGAAGUGUAGGUCGGGUGAACCACCUCUUAUACCCAAAGUAUUGUGGAGUUUAGGUCAAUGAGAAAGGAGAUCUCAAGGUUUUGGAGGUUUGGAAAUGAUGGACCAAAGCUUCGGCAAAGGUGUGGGUUAGGAGGAAGAAGAAUGGUGGGUAUUUAUACCCCCAAGGGAAAUAGGGCCAUUGCUCAGCUGCCACCCUGGGCACCCACAAAAGGGUCCGAGAACCUAGACAAAACCGAAAAACAUAUCAUACCCAUGGAGAGGACCGGGCACCGGACCCCGUCCACCCGGGCUUGGAUAAACCACCUUGCCAACAUUUUGGUGACCCCAAGCACCUGGUCUAGGUCGAACUAACAUGAUAGCGUGCGGGUGACCCCACGCACCCGGACCAGGUCGAACCUAGUUGUCCAUUCACUCAUGACUCUGGACACCUAGACUACAAGAAACACUGAAUUUUCAGAGACAUUUUUUACCGAUGAAACCUAACACAUAUAGCAAGAAAAGUGUAUGGAAGACUAUUGAGUCCCCAACUUCAAAAUCACAGCAACCCCUCUUAAUGGUACAUAACUUUUCGAGUCGCAGAAGAACAUCGUAUUUUCCCUCUGUGAAUUGAUGGGGUUACCAACGUACGUAGACAGAAUAGAGAAGCCAAUGUCCUGAGAUAAACUUGACAACCGACAUUAGUCCUCGCAAAUAAUAUUGUGAUCAACCACCAAAAUCGUAAUUGAGUGACAAUUGCACUUUCACCAUCUUACGAAGCCGAUCACUAGAUAAUCAAAAUAACAAUGCUACCGAAAGAUAACACAUGACGAUCGGAAAACAACGUCACAUUAAUCCCUAAUACACCUAAGCUCCAUGACAAUGCCCUCAGGAGGGAUAACGAUGCAGAGCGUCACCGCUUCCGUGUCCACAACAGACAAAGGUCUUCACCUGGAACCCAAACAUGGAUAGGAGCGCCACAACGACGUCUUCAAGAAGAGAGCGCGCCUGCGAGCGUCGCUAUCAACGGUGCCAAAGCGCAGGGCUUUCACCGGUAGCUUCCUCUGUCACCACGAGGUCUCCAGGAGAAACACAACUAGUUUAGAUUCCAAACCCAAAUCGAGGCACUGUCCUAGUCAGAGACAAAAGAGUGUGUUCCAGCCACCCACCGCUUUGCCUCUCGCCGUCCACAAGACCUAGAGGAACAAACAUCACCACCGCCAUAUAGCCCGUCGGAGAGCCAACCAUGCGGACCACCUUCCAGGGUCGCCGUCCUGUCAUCCAAACUACGAGACAUCGCCACUCGCCCACUCCACAAUGUAAAAAAUGCGGCAGAAAAAGCCCGAUAUCGGCCCUAGAGCCUGGGUCGACGCCACCACCGUAGGGGUGCCUAAGCCUGCGAUCCUCUCCCUUCUUGGUGGACCGAGGGGAGAUAUGAUCAUGUGGUUGCCGACGACCGUCAUAGAGUCAUCAACUCACAUGAUGCCACAUUCGCGAGCUUUAACACCGAUCCAACGCCCGGCCAUCGCUAUCCCAACCACCACCGUCACGAUCCUUCACUGACGCCAUAACGUGUAGAUCCCCCCCCCCAAUCGACCAGCAAGCUCCUGCCUUGGCCUGACCUCGUGCAAGGAGCAACUGAUCACGGACGGAUGACCAUGUUAAACUCCUACACCGUCGACCAAUCCACGACCCUAGCCCACUACCAGGCAUCGCACCGGCGGGAGGCGGGCGCCGCCCCAUCAUAUCUAGACAACCCAGAUCCCGACGGGGGCGGUCAGGCAGCCGGCAACUCCCGUCACCGAACAACAACACCCGUGCCCGCCCCGCCCCAUCCGACUCCUCGCGCAACACCCUGCCAAGGGCUCCAUGCCAUGCGCACAUCCCCGCAACCCCCAUGCUCGAGAGAGGACCCAAUGGCCACCGACGUCGCCAGCAGCCGAGAGGCAUCAUCCCCCGUCUAGGCUUUGCCCAGCGGCGCGCUCCGACGACAACGAGGAGAUUAGAGGCGGCGACGGCGACGAUGACUACUUCUAGGGUUAAGGGGGGAGGGGUGGCAUGAGUCUGGGCGCUCUAAAUGCUAAUGUUGGCUUUCCAAUUCCACAAAGCCUCUUGGUUGGUCGAAGGAUGGUGUGCAUAGAACAACACAGAUUUUCAUUUGAACCAAGAAUGGACACCCUUCUUUUAUGCAUCUACUACUAGCGUGAAAAAUACAAGGACAAACUCCUUGGUAGCGUCCAACCAAAACCGUGGACCAUAGGCAACGAUCAGAUCACACACACAGAUCAACCCAUCUGCCAAGACUUACGGCAAAAUUCCACUGCUUCGGCAGAGCGCAGACGAUCCCAGACGAGACGGCUGCCUGCCUUCACUCCCCCCGCACCCGCAGCCACCGCUCCCAGAGGCGCAGUCGGCAGUCAAAAAAGACAUUAAAAGCGGGUUACUCUGCUGCCCCAACCACUCCGCCUCCGGCUCGUGCUUUCAUUGCUCGCUCGGCCCCGUCUCCCGAGUAAGUAAAACCAGUAACAAUGGAGGAUGGCUGCUGCUCGAUUCAUCUCUCCCCUUGGUGAGGUGAGGUGUAGCGGUAGGCAGCAGCUGGGCAGGAGUAGCGUUGGCUCGGCUGUGCGAGCGUCUGUCACCCCGCCGACGGGCCAUUAAUCGCUUGCAGGUGGAGGCCCGUCGCCGGCUCUCGACUCGCUUGCUGGGGGAGGCGGGUGAGAGAUCCCCAUGUGCUGCGCAUUGGGGCGCUCUCGCCACCUGCGUUUCUCUCCCUGAGGCAAGCAAGCAGCAGCAGCAGCAGCCAUCGUCUCUCGCGCCGCGGGCAGCCGCGCGUCUCACCUGCCCCGCCUCUCCCUCCCUCCAUUCUUGCCCGCUCCUGACCUUGGGUGUGAGCAAGGAGGAGGGGAAGCUUCUGCGGCGGUGGUUCUUGGGAACCCCCGGCGGCCGGCAUUCAGGUCAGAGGUUCUCUGCGGUGCUUCCGUUCUUGUUACUCCUGUUUCUGUUUGUGUGUGUGUGUGUGUGUGUGAUUCUGCCAUGUUUCUGUGUGUGAUUUGAGUGAAGUCUAUGCAUUUUCCAUUUCCCCCUGUAAUGCUUCCAUUUUGAAGAAAAAAAAUUGUGUGUGUAAAUAAUACUGUGGAAGAGAACAUCCAAAGCUGAAAGAUGCACACAACGAGAUUAUUACAAUUUUCCUUUCCCUACCGCAAAUUUGUUUUGCCUUCAAGUUUGCUUCCUUCGUUGCCUGUUUCUUCUUCUUCAAGUUUUUGCUUGCAAGCUCAGAUUCGUACAGUAUCUUACGUGUUCGUCAUUUUCCCCCCUUCUGGUUUUUGCUUGCAAGGGGAGUCUUAACAUUCCUCCAAAAAUUAACCAAAGAGUUUGAGAUAUCUGCAUUUGAAGUAGGAUAUGUUCAAUUUACUGUAGUUGCUGCUGUGCAAUUAUUGAAAAUCAAUGCUCCCCCCUGUAGUUGUCACAGCAUGUCAUUUUCUUUGUCGGGUCCAAACAGUUUUAAAGGCCUGCACCUUCAAAUAUAUUUUUACUGCUAACGAGUAAAAAUUAUCCACCCUGCUUUUCUUGUUCAAAUUCAAACUGGACUACACUUUGUUUGAGAUUUGCUGCGUCCCGCCGCCAAAAUAGUUUGAGGUGUUUUCACGGUGAGCGAUAUCAUGCCAAUCAGCUUCUGUGACAGAUUUGCUAUCCUUCUCUUAGGAUAAGACACAUUUGCUUUUGGCCUUCAUUAUUUCAUCCUCACCAACUUACUGAAAAUUGUUAAUUUUCGCGCAGGAAGCUGUACUGUGAGAUCAAUAAAAGCAAAGUUCUUUCAACGAGCAAUUUUGCUGCUGCAAUUCUCCAUCCUGCCUUUCAACGAGCAAUUUUGCUGCUGCGAUUCUCCAUCCUGCCUUUCAGUACCAAAGUCCUGGCUGAAACUCUGAAACUCCUGGCUGAGAAAUUGGAAAGCGCACAACUUGCCAAGAUACACAGGCAGACAGUUGAAGUAAGAUACAGUCUUGGGCACAAAGCUUUGGCUCCAAUGGCUUGGCAGUUAAGUGCCCUUGUGAUGGCCAUAACCUGUUUGAUGUUAUCCCGAACAAGUGAGCAGUCCUCAGAAAGUGAGCUGCUGCAGCAGCUCAGGAAGCAGCUGGAGUACCCUAGGCAGCUGGACGUCUGGAAUAACCCAAGUGGUAACCCCUGCUACACUCAGCCCACUUCGGUGGUCACCGUAACAUGCGAGGGGGAUGCCGUUACCGAGCUCAAGAUAGUCGGUGAUAGGAUCACUAAGCCACCAAAGUUCAGUGGCUAUCCUCUUCCAAAUGUCAGCCUCUCUGAAGCCUUUGUUAUCGAUUCAUUUGUCACUACGCUGACAAGGUUAACUACCUUGCGGGUUGUGAUCUUGGUGUCUUUGGGCUUAUGGGGCCCUCUCCCCGACAAGAUUCACCGGUUGUCUUCGCUUCAAGUGCUUGAUCUGAGCUCAAAUUUUCUGUACGGCUCGAUCCCUCCGAAGCUGUCGGCCAUGUCGAGGCUUCAGACCCUGACACUGGAUGGUAACUACUUCAACGGAACUCUGCCAGACUGGUUUGGUUCGCUCUCAAACCUUACGGUCCUUCGUAUUCAGCGUAACCGGUUGAAAGGGUCAAUACCAGCAGCAGUUGGUAAAGCUACAAUGCUUACCGAGCUAGCUCUUGCCGGCAACAAUAUCUCAGGCGAGGUUCCAGGUUUGGGUAGUUUGGUAAAACUUGAGAUGUUGGAUUUGAGGGACAACGAGUUAUACGGAGAGCUUCCAGACAUGCCUACAGCAUUGGUAACAGUCUUGCUUAGCAAGAACUCAUUCAAGGGUGUUAUUCCGGAAAAGUUUGGUCAACUGAAAAGGCUUCAACACCUCGAUCUUUCAUUCAACUUUCUUGAGGGCAGUCCUCCUCAAGAACUCUUUGAUCUCCCAAACAUCAGUUAUUUGAACCUGGCAGCAAACAUGCUCAGUGGAUCAUUUCCGAGUAGUUUAACAUGCAGCAGCACCCUGGGCUUUGUUGAUUUGUCUACUAACCGAAUCACAGGUGACCUGCCUGCUUGUCUAAGUGCCAACUUGAAUAACAGGGUUGUUAAGUUCGACGGGAAUUGCUUUAGUGCUGACCCUGAACACCAGCAUGAAGCUAACUAUUGUCAACAACCUCAUAAGGGGAGAAGAUCAAGCAAGGAUGUUGGACUUGUGGUUACUAUUGUCGGUAUAGUGCUGAUUGUGCUUGUUCUUUCUCUUCUAUUAAUGGCAUCAAACAAAAGAAACUGUCAGAGAGUUACAGCAGAACAACAGUUACUGCAAAAGCAAAUGCAAGAUAAUUCGACUUCAGGAAUGUCUUCUGAACUGCUAGAAAGUGCAAGUAAGACUUGUUCCCAGUAAUAUUGCAUUUAUAACCCCCCCCCCCCNNNNNNNNNNNNNNNNNNNNNNNNNNNNNNNNNNNNNNNNNNNNNNNNNNNNNNNNNNNNNNNNNNNNNNNNNNNNNNNNNNNNNNNNNNNNNNNNNNNNNNNNNNNNNNNNNNNNNNNNNNNNNNNNNNNNNNNNNNNNNNNNNNNNNNNNNNNNNNNNNNNNNNNNNNNNNNNNNNNNNNNNNNNNNNNNNNNNNNNNNNNNNNNNNNNNNNNNNNNNNNNNNNNNNNNNNNNNNNNNNNNNNNNNNNNNNNNNNNNNNNNNNNNNNNNNNNNNNNNNNNNNNNNNNNNNNNNNNNNCCCCCCCCCCCUCUUAAGGUCUUACUGGACGUUCACAUGUGUCAUGUAUGAAUCACAUAGUUUCCUUAUUUUUUUACAAAAAUGUGUGGAGUUAGCCGGCCCAUUUCUUUCUUAUUUAGAUGAAGCAAAUGUGAUAUUUUACGAGUUCAGAUGCUUUAUACAGAGAAUGUUAAUCAACAGACUUUUACAUGUUAACUAUCCUGCCUUUGUUCCUAUCUUAUACGUACUCUCCACUAUCCUAUACCUUGUAACUGUAUCCAAAUGUGCUUCAGCUGAAUGGCAUAAUGAUGGUGGUACUUCCAUGUUUUGAAGAAAUUCUGAUAUCGUAUUUGCAAAUACCUCCCUGAAUGAGCAAAAAGAGAAAGUUUCACUUCUUUAUUUGGUGUCACUUUGAAUCAUUUUCUAGCUCUCUUCAUUGCAGGGUACAUAUCUCAGGCUGUGAAGUUUGGGUCGCAAAUAAUGCCCACACACCGUGCAUUUUCUUUAGAAGAGCUCAAAGAAGCAACCAAAUGUUUUGAACGAUCAGCAUUUUUAGGCGAGGGAUCCAUUGGAAAGGUUUGCUGAUUUGUUCAUAGAUUCACCAAUUUCAAUUCGAAUUUACAUCAGAUAUUAGAUGCAUAAUAAAUGUACUUUCUAAAAAUGUUAAGAACAUAAUUACUCAACUUCCUAGUGAUACAAAUUGGAAAAUUUCCUAGCAUUGAAGUUCCUAUAGCCAUACUACUUUUGUGUUGCAUUUGUUACAGCUUGGUUGUCAUACACUUCUUUUUUCCUUGAUCUUCAGCUAUACAAGGGAAAACUAGAGAAUGGGACCGUGAUUGCAAUAAGAUGUUUGGCAUUGCACCACAGAUAUUCAAUAAGAAAUCUAAAGCUUCGUUUAGAUCUACUUGCGAAGCUUCGCCACCCAAAUUUAGUUUGCCUCUUGGGGCACUGUAUUGACAAUGCAGUUGAUGAAUCAAGUGUAAAAAGGGUUUUUCUUGUUUAUGAAUAUGUACCUAAUGCGACACUCUCUUCUUAUCUUUCUGGUAAGGAACUACACCUAAAUAUGGCAAUUAAUGUUAUAUGAAUUGAUAACCAUUCAACUAUCUAAUUUCUUUAUUUGUGCAUGCCCUUCUUGGCAGGCUCUACUCCUGAGAAAACACUGAAAUGGUGUGAUAGACUGCAUGUGCUGAUUGGCAUUGCAAGGGCUGUUCAUUUCUUACAUACAGGAAUAAUUCCUGGUUCCUUGUAUAAUCGGUUGAAAACUUCUAAUAUUUUGCUUGAUGAACACCACAUUGCAAAACUGAGCGACUACGGUUUGUCCAUAAUCACAGAGGAGAUAUACAAACAUGAGGUUCGCUUGCCAUUUAAACGAAAUCAUCAUAUCAUGUUUGAUCCCCUAUUAUUUAAUAUACACGUACAUUAAGGAUAGUCCAUGCUUUUUUUUAAUGCCAAUAGUUCUUUGGGUUUACAGGCAAUAGGAGAAGGGCAGAGAUACAUACAAAAUAAUGCUGAAGAAUUGUAAGUCCCCGAUUCAUCUACCAUUGCACCAAUUUACUCAAAUAGAUAAGCAAAUCUGGUUAUAGAGUUGAAGCAUUCUAUAAACUGAUGCUCAGCCAUGUCGAAACUGUAACAUCUAUCGAUGUUUUUGUAGGGAAACUUUGCAGGAUGAUGUAUGUUCUUUUGGUUGCAUUAUACUUGAAGCACUUAUGGGCUCAAAAUUACAUAGAAAAGGAGAUCCUUUUAUUUUAAGUGAACUGGUAUGUUUCCCCCUCUUGCUUUGUAGUGAAUAUUUAGAUGGAUCCUGCCUCGUGCCUCAUAUUCAUGUUUUAUUUGGCUAUGCAAUACUCAGUAUGCUUGUUUUCUGGGUUUUACAUGACAAUCAUUUCACAAGCCUACAGUAAAAAAUUGAUUUCACAAGCCAUGACUCCAAUCCUAUGUUCUUCCGUCCAUGCUCUUGUAGAAUCUGCGCUCCAAAGAGGCACGUACUACUGUUUUUAUGCUUCAUCUGAUAACUAAAGAAAGCGGGGUUUCCUAUGGUUUAUCACUGUUAGUACUUAGUACACACAUAGUAUGUUUUUGCUAACAUGGUUAUAGCACAAUUACUUGCCUACCCAGAAAGGGAUUGUAGGGUUGGCUUAGAUUUCUUAGAGAUAUAUUGGAAAGAUCUAUGUAGUAGACAUGUGUAGUAAACUAAAAGUGAUAUGUUUAAUGCACGAACAUUCUCAGUGAUGCUGCUUACAGGGAAAAUAAUCGGCAAUAAUACAGAAUCCAGUUAGCAUGCAUUUACUAAAAGUGAACUGCUUAAUGCAUGAAUGAUCAAGUAUUUCGGCUAAUGGGCCCCACAUCUGUCUGAAACCAGCAUGAAUACGUUUUGAUUGUACAAACGCUUACUGCCGAAAAACUAAUAAUUCACUGUCUGAGAAAUAUUUGCCUGUAUCUGCAGGUUCUGUCUUUAUCAUGCCAGGAAGAGCGUGAGCGCGUUCUGGACCCGGUCGUGCUUGGGACCUCAUCGCAGGAUUCACUCUCGAUGGUGGUCUCCAUCACGAUCAAAUGCCUAUCCGUUGAAUCUUCGACCCGGCCCUCCAUCGAAGAGGUUCUCUGGAACCUGCAGUACGCUGCGCAGAUCCAGGCGACGGCCGAUGGUGAUCUGAGAUCAGAAGUUUCGUCGCAAGCCUGUUAGCACAUCUGAGCAGCAUGGCAGCAUGGAAACCAUGACCUGCAGAAACGAAGGGAAGAUGGCGAGCAAGGGCCGUUUGCUCAGCAGACCAGGAAAUGGAAAAUGGAAAUGACUAGGCUAACUUUUCACAUUGCGCAUUUUCUCAGCAGCAUUUGUAUAUCAGUACAGGUUGAUUAGCAUGGCAAAUUUCUGCUUGUUUUUGCAUUGUAUGUUACUAGUGUUUUUUACUCUUGAUAGUAUAGCGGUUCUUGCACUUCUUGUGAGUUACAGAGGUGUUCUAGCAUUAAGCUUCUUCUGAGCAUUGGCGCUUUUUUUCAGUAUAAAUCUGGCUAAUCUGACGCCCUCAACAUUGGAUCCCGAUCGAACGCAUGGCAUUCACUUGCUGAAGCAUGGCAAUUUCUCUGACAAUUUUUUAUAUAACAUGAUGAUUUUCACUUUAGAACAUGACAAAUCUUACAACAUGACAAAUUUAUCUGUUUUCGCAUGGCAAAUCUGGACAUUUGCUGCCAAACGCUAAAAAUCACAGAUUUUUAACAUUUGCCUUUUUUUAUCAAGAGACAUCCUUCAAAAUGUGUACGGAGACCGAAGAGAGCCCAUGUCUAACUGAUGCAUGGUUCAAAUAUUAAUAUCACUAUUUCACCUCGUUACAAAAGGCAAGCUCACACUUGGAAACAGUAAUGUCAGCUACUGACAUCAUACUGAGUGCAGUGCUACAUGAUACUAUAAUAAAACACGAUAAAUCGCAAAAUCCUGUUCACACAGCUCAUAGUUUCAAUUCAAUGUCACAUCUGUGCGCAAUGAGGAGCUUACUUUACAGUUAUACAUACACUCUACCAAGGCAAACAGUGUCGCAGAAAACCUAACGACACAUGAGAGAUGAGAGGCCAACAUCUAGACAUACAAUGUGCUACAGCUUAUUCUUCCUCAUAUUCACAGCUGAAUGCCUGUGGAAAGUUGAUCAUCCUUGCUACAUAGAUAUGCAUACUUGAUAAGCCACAUUGAUCCGUCAAAUGUCAGUAUCUACAGAAAACAACAAGUUCUCUUCUUAACAUGGGAAAAUCAAAUUACUCUUAUGCAGAUGAAUAAAAGUAAUGUAUGCAAACUUACAAGAACAAUCAAUUUACUUAGUAGCGGCAAACGAUCCCAGCUUUGAUAGGUCCGGGACCCAGCAGGAUAGUUCUGAAGAUCCAGUCAAGAACAUCAGCGAUCCUGGAGCCCACCUAACCAGUGGUGGCUCGUUAUCUGUGCUCCCCCAGCGCGCAACCUGCAGGAGACCAUCAUUGUAUAUCGCUUACACAACUAAAACAUAUAAAUAGUACUGUGUAAUUUAACUAUAAAGGUUACAUGCCAGGUUCUUCCAUACCUUCUUUCCACUUCUAACACUCCAAGCAAAAACACUACCAUCACCGGAGCCUGCAAGAACCAAAAAAUAAAUAAAAAAUGAAUAGGUUUACUGAUUUAGAAAAAGAGAAUGGAGUGAUGAUAGGAAAGGGUGAUAGGGAAAGGUUUCUAACCAGAUAUGAUAUGGUUUCCAUCAGGGCUGAAUGAUGCCUCCAAUGGCGAAUUGGUUACAGCUGGCUUAACAUUGUAAGUUGCUAGCUGCAAAAAAAGAGGUCGUAUGAGUGUUUUCUAAGUCCCUUAGCCUGCGUUAUUUAAAGUACAGUCGGUAGCUCAAAUGCUUACAUUGUUGCCAUGAAAUGAAUCUAGCACAUGAAUACACCCUGCUUUGGUGGUUAAAAGAAGCCGCCUUCCAUCACUGCUGAACUUUAUCAUAUUGGCUUCUGAUUCAUCAUUACCAACGGAGAAAAUAUCAAAAGGCCCCUAUAGGGAUGUAAGAUGGUUAAAAUGUAUCGAACAAUUCAAGUCAAACAACACAGUCAACCACCACUACCUUCUCAAAUUUUCGAGCAUCAAACAUCCUUACAUAACCACCGUAAGCAACUGCAAAAACUAAACCCUGAUCAUCAUAUGAAACUGCAGGCCUCCCUUGCACACGUAGCAAGCCCUACAAAAUCCAAAGGGAACAAUUUACUAGUCAGAAAUCAUCGAAUAUUCACCUAUGGCUCCACCAUAUGUGUUUAGAUGUUAAGAAAUCCAGAUAAACUAAAUUGACCAUAUUCAAUACACCUUGUGCCUUUAAAAUAGGAAUACAGAAUCCAAUAAUGAUCAUCCUGGAACAAAAAAAUAUUGAGAACCACAGGGAUGCUAAGGAUUCGGUCCCAACUGUAGUACUUGGUAUACUUAGCUUCAGGAUAAUCAUCUGAAGGAGACUAAGAUAGUUUAACAGAGAAAAGAAAAGGUAGAAACAAAUCCAUAAUAGCUCUGUUAACUGUAAUUGCAGCUUGUUAAGUGAAAUGGCCGAGAGAUCAAUCGGAAAGAGGUUUUAUUAGAUAGUAUUUUCUAGUUUACAGUAUCAAUAGCUGUACCUGUGCUUUGUCAGCCCUCAGAUCCCAUAGGAGAACAGUUCGAUCAAGUGAACCAGAGAGAAAACUGUCUUUCUCGUAACAUAAUGACAUAGCAACAACCCUGGAAAAGGCAGACAGCGUAAGGAUUUUCUGUUCGCGUUAGAUUAACUGAAAUAUGCUGCCAUAAUUUGUCUUGCGUACAACGGACCUGUCAAGAUGGCCUUUGAAAUAUCUUACAAAACGGUUAUCAUUCAGAGAGAGUAGACGCAGAGAUUCUGCAAAAGUGCAUUCUUUUCAGUAUAGGUCUAAAAUCACUCUUAAGCGAAUAGAAGGUACAUUACAUACCAUCCCAGCCAUUUUUCGAGGAGUACAAGACAAGAGUUGGGUUUGUAGUGAAGCACACCAGUUCAACCCCAUACUUUUUGCUAUUAAUGGUCUUCAAACAUCUGAAAUUUCUAACUUCGUUAGAAAUCAAAUACAUAUAACGGACUAAUACAUUACUGACUACAUAAAAAAAUUUAAAAUUGCUACAAUAGUAUAUAUGCAUCGAGCCAAUUCCAUACUAGGAAAUUUCCUAACUACUAUUAAAAUAAAUACAAUAGUCAUGUGGGGCCCAGGCAUUAGGCAUAUAGAGAAUGCCAGGCCGGACCCAUUGGAGAGGCCGCCUCAGGAGAGGUGACAGCUGACUUGGAGUGGCGUCAUGUGUAUUCCCGGUCAGAUAUAUAUCAAAUUAUAUCUCUGAUUAGUUAUUAGACUGCUUUCAAAUAUUGGUUCUACCACAUAUAGUUGUCGAACAAAUCAUUUUCAAAAGCCAAGUGUAGUAUAAGCCUAACCCAAACCAUUGCAUAUUAAACAAAUCUAACAAUAACAUAAUGUAUUAUAUAGUUAACUGAACAACUAGCAAACCAAAUAUCAACACUAGAUCUUAGGAAAUUGUGUCUUGUGCCUAAUAAUAUCUAAUCAAGCCCUUUACAUGAUAAUACAACAUGAAAUACAGAAGAAAAUUAAGUAAUGAUUUGUACUCACACAGCAUUUUGAAUGUCAUAUAGGCGUAUUGAUUCAUCAUCACUGGCUGUCACAAGAUAGUUUGUGGACUUGCUGUGGAAAUCCAUAGAACUAAUUCUGCCAAUCUGCCAUAAAAUUAUUGUAUAGCACAAUAUCAAGUUACUACAGGUAAAGUGAAAUAUGUCAUGAUCUGGAAAAGAUGCAAUGUAAAGUGAAAUUAAGUUACUAUAUGUAAGCUAAAAAAUAAUACUCCCUCCACUUGGAAAUUAUAGUGCCUAAUGAUGCCAAUCUGCCAUAAAAUUAAGUUACUAUAUCUAGACGUACUUCAGUGCUAGAUACAUCCGUUUGAGCGACAACUAAUAUGGAUCGGAGGGAGUAUAAACAUUCAUCAUAUGCAAGCUUCUUUGAAAGAAGAGACUUCUCAAAUACAAAAUUAGGAGCUCACUUCUAAGAGGUGGCUGUUGUUAUGUUCAAGCUCAGCAACUUGUUCUUAGUUAGUUUAAAACAAUGUUUGUAACUCGAUAUUAUGGUAUCUAAUUAAUGUUAAAAAAAAGGACUACUAAAACAAACUCAUUAGGCACUGUACUGUCUAAUGUACAUUUCAAACUCUGUGUAUUUGUAUCCUUGCAGUAAACAAAGAGAGAAUCCAUUUGUGUGCAGUAAUCUAAACUAAAUCCAUAAGCAUCUCUACACCUUUGGAAUUUGGAUUAGCUAAGUCCUUACUGGAAGCACUAUUUCAAUCCAUCUUCUGAUCAAUGAAAAAAAAACACUACUUUUUUCUUUUACAAAACCUAAUAACACUAUUAGGCCCUGCUUGGGAUGCCAUUUUUGUGCCGAAUACACUUGUAAAACAAACACACACCUCCACCCACCGGUUUAGUUUUCACCUGGUUUUAUACUUAUGACCGGUAUAAUACCUCUGUAAACUAUUACACCUGUAAAAACAAAACGAGUUUCCAAGCGAGGCCUUACAAACCCCUCUUCGGACCAAUGUAAGUUGCUCCAGUACUAAGGGAGUGUUUGGUUUGUGAUUUAGGUUGAGGUUUUGCUUGCCCAUAAGUUGGCCAAAAUCGGCUAGAAAAAUGAACUAGAUUGCCAAAGGAGCAAUGGCAUGCCAAAAAGUUGGCAAUGAGCAAAAUAUGGUAGGGCAGACAUUGGUGGCAACCCAAACAUACCCUAAGACAAUCAGCUGCCCCCAUGAGCUUCUUGCUUUUCGAGAAAGGAUAAAGCAAAAAGGGAUAGUUCAUAAUUCCAGCAGGUAAGAGAAACGGAUUGCAGCCCUUACAUAGUCCCGGAAGGCCAAGCCGACCUCCAUGGUCUUGAGCAUCUCGUCGGUGACCUCCAUGGUCACCCGCUCCUCCUUCUCCCCGGCUACAAAAUUAACAAGAAGAGAACAACAAUAAAUCAGCCUGGCUGCCUGGGAAACAAGGGACACGAACCGCGCCGUAUAUUUGGGCCGGACUGAGGGUCCGAAUUCGUACCGGGCAUCUUGGUAUGCACUCGGCGGCCGGGGUAGCACCAGGAGAGCCCUUGUACACGGAGCCGACCGCCGGGAGAGGGCAGGCGGCGGCGGCGGUCGCGCGGCACAGACUGGGAGCGCAAGGAAGGACGGGGAAUAUUUUUCCUUUUUAGGGGAAGGAGCGCAGCAGCCAGGUAAUAGGGACUAGGGCGGAGGAGGGCGGGGGAGGGUGGAGAGUGGCGGCGGCUCGCCGUCGCGGAGGGGCAAAAGUUCUUAUUUUUCUGGAGGAAGGGGGACGAAUUGAGGUGAACGAAGGAAGAAGAAGUGCGAGCGAAUUGGGCUGGUCGGAGCGUGGCCCGCUGGACUGCUAAGUAAGGCGGCUGCUACAAAUCCGUAAGCCCCCGUCCCAUGCGUCGAGCCCCCUCGUCGGAUUAAGUUCCGACACCGCCCCACCUGAGCAGCCGCGCGUCGACACACCUCGCAGCAUUUUGCUUGCUGCAUUGAAACGUAUAUCCCGACACCGCCCCACCUGAAUCCCCACGGAUCGCGGGCGGUGACGCGAUUGGCGACCUGCGGCGACUCCGCUCUCCCCACCCACCCUCCUGCCCGUCACCCUCUGUCGCCGUUCCAUCCCCCCACACCCCAUCGCCGACCGGCGACCUGCGGCAGAUCUCGCUCGCCUGCACCUAAUUGUAAUGCCACAGCCGCCAAACGACUCCGCCCUCCCCACCCACUGUUUGGACCACCAUGACGCAACACAUCUACAUAGACAUGGCUGCUUCAACUUUUGCUCGAAGCUCAGAUGCAUCCAGCUACAUAAAUCCAACCGUAUUAUUCUCAGAAAAUCAGACGUAUGGUUCCACAGCAGAUGUGGUGAGUUACUCUGUAAAAAAAACAUUUAUGUUGCAAUGUUACUAUGCUAAAAAAAGUCAUGAUGUCAAAAUAUGAAGCAAUGCUUGUGAUUCUAUGGUUUUUUGAGUUGAGCAUGGUAGUCUUUGCCCGGUUAAAAAAUCAGUAUGGUUGCUGUAAAAAUACAAUCAUACAGUAUUCAGAAAAGAUAUGAAGUAUAAUGCUUGUGUUGAAUAUGGUAGUCAAAUGUUCAGAAAUAUAUGUAUCCCCAAAAAUAUGAAGUAAUGUCCAUUUAAGUAUGUUAGUCAAUGCUUGUGUUGCAAUGCCAGUAUGCUAAAAAGACUCCUGCUGUCAAACUCAAUAUGAUUGUUGUGCAAAAGAAAUGUUGUAUCCUUGUCCAACAAUGUUUAAAAAAAUGUGUGUUCAAAAAGUAGUAAAAAGUCAUGGUACAUAACUAGUAAUGUUGUAAACUUCUGUGAACUGGAAAUGUGUAUAAAUGCCCUGAUCAGAAAUAUGUUGUUAUGAACUACUCUGAAGAAAUGUUAAAUCCUUGUAUCCAUGUCCUGCAAAAAAAAAUCUUUUACAACAAUUACUGCGCUGCAAAUUUCAUGCAUACUUGGCGAUCUAUUGAUGUUAAAAAAGAACUGAUGUAUGGAUGUAUUUUUCAUGUUUUUUUGUAGGAUGCUCAUGAUGCAACAGCAGCUCAACAUAGCUAUACGGCGCAUGAUUUUGUAACAAAUACAAGAACGAAUUCACAUGCUGGACUCAACUCAACUGCUACAAUGUAUGAUUGUGAUGAUGAGGAAGAAGAAAUUUCAUCGCAGCCACUCUUACCAUUUGUUGGCAUGCAAUUUGACACUAUCGAUGAUGCUAGAAUAUUCUACAAUGAAUAUGCCUUCAAGACUGGAUUUGGAAUACACAUAGGCGCUUCUCGAAACAACCAAAAGAAAGGUCCUACGACACUUAUCAAGAGGGUUUUUGAGUGUGUCCACACAGGCAAGCCAGGAAGCAAAGCUUAUAGUAGCACUGCUUCAGAGGGUCUAUCAGUUGGUGCAGCCUCAUCUAGCAAAGAUAGCUGCUUCGAAAUGGAUGUUAUGAACAAACGUCAAAAGAAUAGGUUGCUGCGACAUGAUUGCAAAGCUAAGAUGAUAGUUGGAAUCAAGGGAAACAAGUGUGUUGUAUCACAUUUUGUUGCGUAGCACACACACCCCCUGAUGCCACAGCUAGAGCUUGUACGAUACUACCGCUCACACCGCAACAUUCCGGAAGAAGAUAUGGAUCUCAUAAUGACCAUGCAUGAUGUAAACUUCUCAACUUCAUCGUGCAUGGGGAUGCUCUCAAGGGUGCGCGGCAGAGACCGCAAGAUACUACCAUACGUGAAGAGGGAUGUUUCAAAUGUCCGGUCAAAGCUGCGCCGAAACCUAAACCUCCGAGACAUGGAUUUGACAGUUGAGUAUUUUAAGAGGCGGGUAGCUGAGAAUCCUCAGUUCUACUAUGAAAAAAUUGUUUAUAAGGACACCAACUCAGUUACAGGGCUCUUUUGGGUGGAUGGCAGGACAAGGGCAUUGUACCCUAAGUACAAAGACUGUGUUUUUUUUUAUACAACAUUUUAUACAAAUAGAUACAACAUGCCAUUUGCUCCGAUUGUCGGAGUGAACAACCAUUUGCAAACGGUGCUGCUCGGUUGUGCGUUGCUACCAAAUGAACAGAUUGAAAGUUUCAAGUGGGUCUUCGAGAACAUUCUGCUUGCAAUGAACAAUGAACACCCAUUGAACAUUAUGACAGACCAGGACAAGGCCAUGGAAACUUUCAUAUCUCAAGUCUUCCCCAACACGGUGCACAGAUACUGGAAAUGGCAUGUCCAGAGAAAAGCUCAUGAGAAGCUUGGCAGGAUAAUGAGCAGAGAUGAGGUUUUUGAGCAUGCUUUCUACAAGUGCAUCAACGAUUCUAACACGGUUGAUGAAUUUGAGGAGAACUGGCAGCAUAUGAUACAUUGCUUCGAAUUAGUUGAGAAUAGACAUCUUUGCAACAUGUGGCGCACCCGUUACACGUGGGUCCCAACGUUCUUUCGGAAGUGCUUCUUCCCCUUCACAAGCACUACUGGGAGGUCAGAGGGGCUAAACUCCUACUUCAAGACACUUGUGCACCCUCAAGAUUCGGUGGGGAGGUUUGUGCAACAAUAUGAGAUGCUACAGGAGACUAUGCUAGACCGUGAGGACAAUCAAGCUUUCAUUGGUGCAGCAACCACAGCCCCGCUUUACUCUAGGUACAACAUUGAACGUCGGGCAGUUGGUUUCUACACUCGGAGCGUGUUUUCCAAGUUUCAAGCAGAAGUGGAUGCAUCAACAAGCUUUGUUCUGAACCAAGUUCCUUAUGUUGACAUUAGAGGUGUGAAAUUUGAGAUCUUUUCAAAUUACUAUGAAGACCCCAAGAUAUUUACAGUAAAUGUUGAGAUGGAACAAGAGAUAUUUGAGUGCAGCUGCAAUUGUUUCGAAAUGAAUGGCAUCGUAUGUGCGCAUAUCAUUAGAGUCAUGGUCCACCUCAAUGUGCAAGCUAUACCACAACGCUACUUGCUAGAACGUUGGUCGGAACAAGCAACUACACCAACCGGCAAUAGUGCUCAUCUACCGGAUUUUGCGCUCCCUUCGAACAAUACACUCAAGUACAACUCAUUGUGCAGGAAGUUCACAUGGUUAGCCUCUCAAGCUUGUAGCAAUGAUGUUGCCUACAAAAUACUAAAUGAUGCAGCUCAUACACUUGAGCCCAUUAUUGCUGCAGCAAAAAAGGGGGAUUGCAAGAACAACGGGAAUCACAACAGCAGCAACAGACCCCACAACAAAACACAACACAACAUGAGCAGCAGCCACCAACAAUGCAGCAGCAGCACGUGUCGCGUCAGCCAAAGAAACAACAGACAAAAUAGCCAAGACAGCAGCCCCCAAAACCCACAAUCCAACAACCAGAUGCACCCAACCCGCUGGUUGAACAAGAUACCGGGGAGAGUGUCAUGCUUGAAAACCCAACGUGUGUCCCAAGAAAGGUCGACCAUCGGAAAAAUCAAGAAGGAGAAAGACUUUGCUUGAGCAAAGAGAGGAUGCAGCAAAGAAGAAGGCAAAAACAGAGGAGAAGAAGAAAGAAACAAAACCCAGAGGAAAACUUGGACCAAAGAAGAAAAAAAGACAUAUGCUCAUACUGCAAAGAAGAUGGUCACAGCGCCCAAGAUUGCGAGCAGUUGAAACUUGCGAUGGCUGUCUAGAAAUGCAACUAUUGCACCGAGGAUGGUAAUGCUGCGAAUACAUGUCCCUACCUGAGAGCUGCAAUAUCAGUGGAUGCAAAUGUCGCUAGAGCAACAAAACUUACUACUUAGGCUUUGAGAAAGAAAAAAGACAUGAACAGCUCAUUCGCUUGCUGCAUACAAAAAAGUGAAAUGGAGGGGCUGCUAUGUCACCGUAAAUUUUCUCCUUUCUAGUUUUUGGUCACAUGAGAAAGUCUCCUUAAAAAAUGUAAAGAGCUAAUUAAUGUAGCAGCAAAAACAUUGUUACAUUUGUGUGAUGGACAAUAGUGAAGGUAUCUAUUUAGUAUAAAUUUUCAGUGUCUACAAAGUGUGUGUUGGACAAAAAACUGGUGAUGUUUGAUUCUGCUCACAGCGUUCUUACAAUUAUGCUCCAUUUUUGAGACAAAAGCCAACUAUAAAAAAGAUAUAUGGUAAAAAACUAGCUUAUAGCUUCUGAGCAUAAAAUUUCAAAAAUCAGUAUGGUUAAAAAACAUCUAUGCAUCACCUUACAUUUUCGGAUAUAAAACAGCUUGUGGUGAUAAGCAUCAAGCAAAAAGAAACUAAAAUGUGUAGGAUGUCUCCUGACAGCAUUUCAAAGAAAAAAUGCAAAAAUGGGGACCCUGUAUACAUACUCUUAGGAGAACCUGACACUAAAAUUCAAACAAUGAAAGGUAUAUAAAAUGGUAAAAACACAAUUAUCGUAUAUUCAUCACACAGAAAAAAAUGAGUUGCAUUCAUCUUCAACAAAAGAAAAAGGGGACUGAUAACAAUUUCCUUUGAACACUCUAUAUUACCAUCCCAACAAUAGUACCUCCACAAGUUGAUUUAACAAAAUAAACACUAUCAAUGCGUCAAAGUACCUCCAACACGGAGUUGCAACAUUCCUAGACACUUAUGAAAAAAGAAAGGUUACAUCUUGGUUACAUCAAAAUGUAAACCACAAAAUCCAUCACUAAAAAUCGCACGAUUUAGUCGCCACGACGAAAACCAGUUCCAUCUCCACCAUUUAUCUUUAAUCAAACUUCCAGCAGCUUCCUCAGCUGCUCUGCAGGGUCCAAAUUGUUGCUGGGAUGCUUCAAAAGAUUUGCUGCAAUUCGUUUCCGGAGGUUGGGGAUGUAAGUCUGACAACAAAAACAAAAAGAACCCAAAAGGGGUUAAAUGGAUAGAAAAGGGCCGUUAACUGAAUUGAACAAAAUCAUGCACACCAUUUUAGGCACAAAAAUCAUAAAACUGUAACAGGCAAGUAUAAUUCGGUACCUCAUCAAAAUGCAUCAUGACAACACCAUUGUAGUUUUCCAAGUAUAGAAUUGCAUAGAAGCCACAAUUAUAACUGAAAAAAACAUUAAAAAGAAGAUAUAAGUAUUUUCAAAAAAAGACUCUUGCGCAACAUUGUCAAUCCAUACCAUCCUUGUUGCACACAAGGAAAACAAUUGAUUUACAAAAAUAUUAGGCAAAAAGGUUGUUAAAUUUAAGCACGAGUAGUUGGCACCACAACGUGGAGACUAAAAUCUGGAAAUAACAUCUAUAUACCGACAUACCAGCAGGUCAAACCCAGUUUCUUUGUUGGGUUUUUAAAAAAGUUUCACCAUAGGUAUAAGGAGUGAGUUGCAUCACACCAAGAGGCUAACCCAGGCCCAUGAACCCACUCACACCAUUAAUGAAUGGAAUGAAAAACUUAUGUAUCUAAGCAACAACAUCCUGUCAUAUAAGGAAGUGCAACAACACCACCAGCAUGCUUUCAUUGUCAUAGCGUCAGAAACUUGAUGGAUUGUAUGAAAUUAAUACAAAAGUAAGGGGACAACAUAAGUAGUUUCAACUUCUGAUAAAGUACCAUGCCAGGUGUCUAAACAGGCAACAGCUAUACUAGUUGUCAACUAAUUAUCAAUUAGAAAACUAUCAAUCAAUCCCUUAUCUACAUCAGAAAAAAAACCUUAUUGAGCAGCAUUCACAAAUCCUGCAGCCAUAUAGGGGAGAAAAACCACAAAACAGAUGAAAACGGUUGCCUCAUUCACAAGGAUAAACAUGGACAGGUCGAACUAAGCCACGAAUCUAAACAAGUACAAGCCUACAAGGUACAAAGCCUUACUGUAUUUCUUGUGUUGGGUAAUCUAGGGUGAUAAUCUCAAAGCAAUUGAGAUCAAAUUUGAACGCGGAUUCGCAGUUUGCAACCUUCUUUAUGUUGGUGAUCUGAUUGGAUGCAACAAAAAACAAUAUUUUAAAAAAAGGUAUUCUGGUGUUUGAAUCAUACUGAUAUUGAAACAAAAAGUGAUCACUCUCAGAAAAAGACAGGUAAUAAACUUCACUACCACAUUGUUGGUUGCAUUCGUGAGCAAUGUAACAUCCUCGGAAUUCUUGAUAGAGUCGAAGACAUUGAAUUGUUUAUGCAUCAAGUUAGCAACAACUACACCCCAAUGUCUGUUCUGGACAACAACAAUGAAAAGCUACGACGGAACAAAAACAAACUACAAGUAUAAAAAACAGGCUUGAUAUAAAAAUAAGAUACACACAACAAAUGGUGCAAUAUGAAACUUGGAACUUACUAUAUCAGAUUUUGUAAUCUGGUUAUUUUCGCAAGCCCUUCGGAACUCUCUUUCGCAACUUCUGGGAUUGAACAAGCCAGGAUCCACUGCCAAUUGAGACUGGGAAACAAGAAGGAAUUGGAUACUCAUUACCACUAACUGUGUCUAUUGUGUGCAAAAAAAAGUGAAGAAAAAGGAAAAAGCUAUAUGUGGGUAACACUAACCCCCAUGAAGACAGAGAAUUCAAACUUCUUUGGCUUCUUCCUGUUGUACAUUUGCUCCAGGUUGAAUGUUUUUAGAUAGAGUGUCAUUAUAUCGGAGUCAAUCUCGGCUCGUGGCUUCAAGGAAGAAUGGAAGUUCUCAAGUGAUGUGUGAAAACCCUCUAUUUCAAUGAAAUCAGGACUGCAAAAAUUUAAAAACAAAUUAGCACAGAAAACAGAUGGAAAAAAAUUACUACUUUCGACAAUCCAACGACCACACCAUAUGUUACAAUGAAAAUGAAAAAACAUACAAGCGAUAAAAAGGAGACUCACAUCGGUUUGCCGUGUUUUGUUUUUGGUAUCUUGUACCUGCUCAAAACAUACUGUUGGUACAAUGCAUCAUCUUUUGGCUCGAUCUUGAUCUUCUUCAUCCUUUGAGCACUAACAGAAGGCUGGGUUGUUCUCUUCUUUACUCCCUUCUUCACAUGUUUGAUUCGCCCGCUGCUAUCACUAACAAUCUUUGCAAGGCGAUCAUGCAUCUCUGCAUCAGUCUAACCUUGUUGCACUGGCACAAGGACUAAAACAAAAAUAUGAAGAGAGAGAAAACAUAAGUAACUCCGAAUAAACUACUUGAUACAUGGUAUUCAAAUAAAAGCUUCAAGCAGAAUAUAUGGCCAAAAAAAGGGGCAAACUUGGAGCUACAAGUGGAUCUGCAAAUGCAAUUGGAGAUGAUUGUCUCGGUAUGUUAGUGGACCUUGGAAGCUUUGGUUCAGUGUCAAAGCAAGGACCGUCUCCAUCGUUUUGCCCCGGAAGCUUUGUGUUGUUUCCCUGCGUUGCAUGCUUUGGGGUUUUGUCAUAUGUAGGUCCUGCUGAAACAUGGAUGGGAGUUUCCAUUCCCUUAUUUGCUUCCUUAUACUUCCUUGUUGUGUCAUCAUCCAUAUUGAGCCAUUCGAAAUCUUCAGUUCCCUCUUUGAACAGGCUCAUUGAUGGACCAUCAUCAAACUCCAAGGCAAGUCCUUGCAAUGCAGCCAUCGUGCCGUGUGACAGAAUAACAUUCUGACCCUCAUCAGCAACAUAUGGAUCUUUCAAAACAUCUGCACCAACUUCAGUGCCUACUGACUUCUCGCGUUCUCCAAGAAUAGGUCCUUGCUGCACAUCUUCCAUCCCUGGAAACCCGCAACUCUGCAUUUUCUCCAAACCAAUGUCCCGUUGUGCUUCAUUCUGGUUGGUGUUGCUACAACAUGCAACUUCCUUGUCUGCAUCCACUUCUUGUGGUGUAGGACUUUUGUGAGCUUCAGGGCUAGUGUGGAUGGGAGCCCUGGUGUGAUCUACGUCUGGUGCAUUGCCGUCUGGAGCAUGAAAUGUAACAUCUUUGGGCAUAUGAUCAUUGUUUCUUGUUGCAGUGGCAUUAGCUUCAACCAAAAUAGAUGCCAAACGCUUACAGAACAUUGCUUCCAGAACCUGGCCAAAUGAUUUCAAAACCUUCUUAACUUCUGUUGCAUGCAGCUUCUUGUGCUUUUCGUAUACUGGUAUCAUGUGGCUUGGGAUCUGUUUCAAAAGGAAAAGAACAAAUGAAAAACAGAGGAAAAAUUGUAGAUUGCCCUCAACGAAGAAAAGCAGGCACACACAACAAAAAUAAUAAACAAAAAAAUAAAGCAUUGCAACAAGUUGUUGUUGCUGAAAAAAAUGAUGAGAACCUCAUGAAAAAAGUGCUUACCUCCAUUUCCUCACUUGAAGGCAGUGGAUGCAACCACUCAUCUAGAGAGCCACAGACAUCACCGCCAAAGUCGCAUCCAUCAAAGGUUGAGUUGCUUGGUAUAUCAGGGAUGUGUGCAUCUGUCCGAACAAACUUGUUGUUCUGAUGUCGAGUUUCACCGCAGCCGUCUAGCCGUACGCACGACGUCUCCGCCAAACGGCGAAGCUGUGAAAACCAGUGCAUAAAAAGGUUUAAACCACAACCAAACAAAAAAGGAUUGGAAAAAAUGAAAAAAAUAAAAGGAUAAUGUGCUCUUACAUUUCGUUUUCCAAAAUCAAUCUUAUCUAGGCUUAGCUUAUUCCUAUCAAUUUCUUGUAUCAACUUAAAGUCGUCGUUGCAAACGAAGCAAGACCUUGGGAGAGAGUAGUCAAUUCUAUGCUCAGAAGCUAGCAAACGAGGCACCUCAACAAAGUCCAUGUAAAUAAUCUAAAACAAAACAUAAAAAUAACAUUGUGAGACAACCUAUCAUAGAUGGAUGCUGCAGCGCAAAAAAAAGAAAUGAAACAAAAAAUAUUGACACGCAACAAGCUCAUGGGCCACACCGCGAACAUUGGUAGACAGCCACCGAUCCAGAAGGCAGUUUUCCCUUCAUUCCUCUUCUUUUGAUACUUCUUGACCUUAUUCAACGCAACAACCAAGAAAUGCUCAUCCCAAGCAAACUCAUUGAUACUGUCCAUGUCAACCAAGAUCGCAAGAUACUCUAAAGGAACCAUGUUACCAGUACCAGGAGAAAGCACAAGAGCAAUACACAACAGUACCCAUGCCCUCUUUAUAGUAACAACAUCAAGAACAUUUGCAACUUCAAGCACUUCGAUAGUGCGCCUUGUUGGGGCCCUCGACCCAACUCGAUAUGGUUCACGCAACACAUGUGGUUCAUUCCUCCUCAACAACUCAACUGCCCUUGACCCAGAAGGUACAUUGAAAUUUUUUCGCACCAUGUCUUUUGUAUACAAAAUGGACUUCUGUCUGUGACUGCAACAAGUAGAGUAAACAGUUGAGCCAAUAAGAAACGAAACCUAUUGCAAGAAAAAGAUAGGAAAAAUGAUACUCAAGAGGAAUAUGCUUGAAAAAUGCAUACCUAAACAACGACUUAUCUGGAUUAAUUUUCAUGACUACCCAAUCCAGCAGAUCAGCGGGUACAGAAAAAGAGUUGAUGUUCAAGAGGGAACCAAAGCUGCAUAGGCAUAUAACAUCCUUCUUACUUGUGGGCUGACAAUCCGCAAUCUGGCGCAAGCGACUGGCUGAGAAACGCGUUGAAAAAGACCCAUCAGCAGCCGGGCAUUCAUCAUCGUCCAUUCUGCAAAAAAAAAACAGAAAAACGCGUUGGUCAGCAUGUUCAAAAUACAUACUUCUGGCUGAGCAUGAACUAAAAAAUGUUAAAUAGUUGCCUUGAACAAACAGGUGCCGCGCGUCUCAGACAACCUGAUGAUUUGCAUGUUAACAAGUUACCAAGUAGCAAUUUUACAUGUUACCAAGUUACAGACACAAAUCGACGAGCAAACACACAUAUGGUACUACAACAAACCAACAAACACUGCAAAAAAGUUGUCUGAUACCCAAGGUCCUCACAACCCCCAACCUACACAUACCCAAGGUCCUCCACCGUCCACCCAUCUCGAAAUGCUCAGAGUCCAUUAUGAUUUUGUUUCUUCAGCUGAUGGACUAAUCAAUACUCAAACUCGAAACUGUAUCCCAUGUCUGAAGAAAAGAACCCAUGCUCCCUGCUUAUAUAUACACACCCCUUUCUCUUAUGAAAAACUAGGGCAUACCGUUGCUUCGGAAGAUGGCAUGGGCUAGCUAACCAACAUCCAGCUGAAGCCUCCCCUGCAGAAAUAAGACACAGAGCAAGUGACAUGAGCCGAUCCCCAUGUCAGCAGAACUGCUCUGUCUGAAAGCGAUGCAAACUGGCCUCCAUGGAGAUAUGUGAAGCAGAUACCAGGCGAAAUGCGCCCGGGAGCACGCACUAGUACACAACGCCUUGCACCGCCAGCUGCUGUAACAUCCAACAUCAAACUGGCCUGGGGAUACUACGGUACUACUACAUCUGAUUGGUGCUAGCUACUGUACUAGGCAGAGGACAAGUUGAUCGGUGAGAAUGUACGGUGCUAGCUACUGUACUAGGCAGAGGACACAAGCAACUAGUACAUCUGAGAGAGAUCCCCCCAGCCCAGAACCACAUCGCCGCCGCAGUGAAGCCACCCGCGAAGGGUAGGACGCCGACGAUCCUAACACCAACCGCCGCAGCAACUCCUCCCUACCACCCCCAACCUACACCUACCAAGGUCCUCCACCGUCCAUCCCUCUAGAAAUGUUGUGAUUCCUACCGCGCACAUAUGGGAUCUAGAAAAAAACUGACCUCGGCUCUGGGUCAUCGUCGGCCAUGGAGCGCGAAGAAGAUGCGCGAGUAGCCGCUCCCUCUCUGCCCGCCGGCACCACCGGUCCCUUGCCCAGCUGCCGCGCCGACCGUCGCAUCCGGCAUUUGUGGAUCGAGCAAGAGAGAGGAAGAGGAGGAGGGAAAGUUGCAAUCCUCAAGGGCGAGCUGCAAUGUAGCGGGGUGGACUCUGGUGGACCAAAAAACACCUGGUUGGUGCGGCGCGUGCUGCAACCUGGUCGGAGACUCGACGCUGCCCAUUGUCCGGACGGAACGACUUUGAACCGUACGAUUACGUACGAUCUAACGGCCCAGGAGCCGGUUUACGGACCGAACGGAUCAGCCGGUUGAUCUAGAGCGUUUUCCGCUAACUAAACCGUACCAAUCAGAGCUUCUCGGCUUAAACGCCAAAUGAGCUCGCGUUGGAGACCACGCCGAAAUGCCACUCCGGCUGACGUUGCUACUUUGCCCCUCAUCGAACCGACUGCACCCUGUUUCCGUUACGCUUGGCCGUUGGGUCUUCAAGUCAAGGCCUUGGAUCCAGGCCAACCCCCCGUGAGAUCUCAUCCGAUACCCCAUAAAUAAACCCACCAUCCAGCGAAAUCAAAUCAGAGCAAACCGAAGCAGAUGUGCAUAGCAUACUACUAGUUUCCGUCCAUCCAUCCUCAUUGCUUGCUAGAUCUUGAUCUUGUUGUUGGAAUUAUGCCCUAGAGGCAAUAAUAAAUAUAGUUAUUAUUAUGAUUCCUGUAUCAAGAUAAUCGUUUAUUAUCCAUGCUAUAAUUGUAUUGAAUGAAGACUCAUNNNNNNNNNNNNNNNNNNNNNNNNNNNNNNNNNNNNNNNNNNNNNNNNNNNNNNNNNNNNNNNNNNNNNNNNNNNNNNNNNNNNNNNNNNNNNNNNNNNNNNNNNNNNNNNNNNNNNNNNNNNNNNNNNNNNNNNNNNNNNNNNNNNNNNNNNNNNNNNNNNNNNNNNNNNNNNNNNNNNNNNNNNNNNNNNNNNNNNNNNNNNNNNNNNNNNNNNNNNNNNNNNNNNNNNNNNNNNNNNNNNNNNNNNNNNNNNNNNNNNNNNNNNNNNNNNNNNNNNNNNNNNNNNNNNNNNNNNNNNNNNNNNNNNNNNNNNNNNNNNNNNNNNNNNNNNNNNNNNNNNNNNNNNNNNNNNNNNNNNNNNNNNNNNNNNNNNNNNNNNNNNNNNNNNNNNNNNNNNNNNNNNNNNNNNNNNNNNNNNNNNNNNNNNNNNNNNNNNNNNNNNNNNNNNNNNNNNNNNNNNNNNNNNNNNNNNNNNNNNNNNNNNNNNNNNNNNNNNNNNNNNNNNNNNNNNNNNNNNNNNNNNNNNNNNNNNNNNNNNNNNNNNNNNNNNNNNNNNNNNNNNNNNNNNNNNNNNNNNNNNNNNNNNNNNNNNNNNNNNNNNNNNNNNNNNNNNNNNNNNNNNNNNNNNNNNNNNNNNNNNNNNNNNNNNNNNNNNNNNNNNNNNNNNNNNNNNNNNNNNNNNNNNNNNNNNNNNNNNNNNNNNNNNNNNNNNNNNNNNNNNNNNNNNNNNNNNNNNNNNNNNNNNNNNNNNNNNNNNNNNNNNNNNNNNNNNNNNNNNNNNNNNNNNNNNNNNNNNNNNNNNNNNNNNNNNNNNNNNNNNNNNNNNNNNNNNNNNNNNNNNNNNNNNNNNNNNNNNNNNNNNNNNNNNNNNNNNNNNNNNNNNNNNNNNNNNNNNNNNNNNNNNNNNNNNNNNNNNNNNNNNNNNNNNNNNNNNNNNNNNNNNNNNNNNNNNNNNNNNNNNNNNNNNNNNNNNNNNNNNNNNNNNNNNNNNNNNNNNNNNNNNNNNNNNNNNNNNNNNNNNNNNNNNNNNNNNNNNNNNNNNNNNNNNNNNNNNNNNNNNNNNNNNNNNNNNNNNNNNNNNNNNNNNNNNNNNNNNNNNNNNNNNNNNNNNNNNNNNNNNNNNNNNNNNNNNNNNNNNNNNNNNNNNNNNNNNNNNNNNNNNNNNNNNNNNNNNNNNNNNNNNNNNNNNNNNNNNNNNNNNNNNNNNNNNNNNNNNNNNNNNNNNNNNNNNNNNNNNNNNNNNNNNNNNNNNNNNNNNNNNNNNNNNNNNNNNNNNNNNNNNNNNNNNNNNNNNNNNNNNNNNNNNNNNNNNNNNNNNNNNNNNNNNNNNNNNNNNNNNNNNNNNNNNNNNNNNNNNNNNNNNNNNNNNNNNNNNNNNNNNNNNNNNNNNNNNNNNNNNNNNNNNNNNNNNNNNNNNNNNNNNNNNNNNNNNNNNNNNNNNNNNNNNNNNNNNNNNNNNNNNNNNNNNNNNNNNNNNNNNNNNNNNNNNNNNNNNNNNNNNNNNNNNNNNNNNNNNNNNNNNNNNNNNNNNNNNNNNNNNNNNNNNNNNNNNNNNNNNNNNNNNNNNNNNNNNNNNNNNNNNNNNNNNNNNNNNNNNNNNNNNNNNNNNNNNNNNNNNNNNNNNNNNNNNNNNNNNNNNNNNNNNNNNNNNNNNNNNNNNNNNNNNNNNNNNNNNNNNNNNNNNNNNNNNNNNNNNNNNNNNNNNNNNNNNNNNNNNNNNNNNNNNNNNNNNNNNNNNNNNNNNNNNNNNNNNNNNNNNNNNNNNNNNNNNNNNNNNNNNNNNNNNNNNNNNNNNNNNNNNNNNNNNNNNNNNNNNNNNNNNNNNNNNNNNNNNNNNNNNNNNNNNNNNNNNNNNNNNNNNNNNNNNNNNNNNNNNNNNNNNNNNNNNNNNNNNNNNNNNNNNNNNNNNNNNNNNNNNNNNNNNNNNNNNNNNNNNNNNNNNNNNNNNNNNNNNNNNNNNNNNNNNNNNNNNNNNNNNNNNNNNNNNNNNNNNNNNNNNNNNNNNNNNNNNNNNNNNNNNNNNNNNNNNNNNNNNNNNNNNCACUACAUCAACCGCGUUCUCUAACGCUUCUGCUGUACGAUCUACAAGGGUACGUAGAUCACUCAUCCCCUCUCGUAGAUGGACAUCACCAUGAUAGGUCUUCGUGCGCGUAGGAAAAUUUUUGUUUCCCAUGCGACGUUCCCCAACACUUGUUUCUUGCAGAGCUAAAAAGGAAGGGAGGAGGAGACGGUUCGGUGAUGAACGGCAGGAAGAAGCAGGGCCGGGACAACCACAAGGCAUCGUAGGGCCGCAGCGACCGCAAGUCGGGGUCCGGGAUGAGCGGCGAUGCCAAGAAGGGCGGUCACGGCAGAAAGUUCACCUGGGAGGGCGUCGAUGGCUACACGGACGAGGACCUCGACCUCGUCGCCAGCAAGGGCCCGGGGACCGAUGCCCGUGCCUCCGGCAAGAACAAGUCCUAGGGAGAGGGUGAUGCCCUGCCCCGCCCGCCCGUCGCCGUCCGAUAGAUAGCUUUAAUUAGCGUUCUCAAUCGUGUCAGCUCUUCAAAUAAUUAUAUAGAUCGUGGUGUGGCGUGUUUGGCAUGUAGAUAUGAUCUGAUCUAGUAUUUCCAGUUGUGGGCUUCACUUGUCUUGUCUUGUGUUCUAGAUCUCGCACUUAACUUGUGUUCAACCUUGUCUUUUGUUUCUGUCAUCUUGGUUCUUCCUUCUGCGUUGAUUUCUGCUCAAUUUAUUUACCGAUCCAUGCCAACCGCCAUCAGUGCUCGCAGGAGUCGAGUCCUUUAUCCAUUCUUCGAACUGACAGCACCCUGUUCCCAUUACGCUUGGUCGUUGGGUCUUCG